UCUUGUUCUAUUUGAAGAAGAGAGUUUCCCACCUCUUCCUCAGGUACGUACCUUCUCCAAGUUAUAAGGAACCUGAUGGAGGCCAUUGAAUUCUUAGUCUACCCUCCUCCAUUAUAGUCUGGGGCAUAGAUGGGCAGGAAGGGGAAUCAUCUUUAGAUGGAGGUGAUUGCCACCACCAAGUCAGACUUUAUCACAUUCCGGUGAUGGAUAUACACUUCCGAUGUUAUAAAAUCGUAUAUAAAAAUCUAACCUUGUCUCUGAUAUCAAAUUAUCAUACUUUAUGAUCUAAGAUUUUUAUAUCAAGAAUGUAAUGUACUUACAGAUUCAAACAUAACUUGUGUUGAAUCUAUUACAACGGAAGUACAGACUUGAUCUCUGUAUGUUUCUUUUGCCUUUCUUCUGAGAUUUUCUCUUUUUUGGGAUUCCUGAGACUUUUCUCUAUUGGAUGCCUUCUUUUGGACUAGUAGAAUAGAUGAUGUUUCUUUAACCCUCAUAUCUUAUUUAUAUAAAAGCAAUGGAUUAUUUACACAUUGAUCCAUAUAUUGAUACUUUAAUAUAAGGAGGUCUUGUUUAGGCUCCAAUAGGGACUUAGUCUUCCUUACUCUUUAUGACUUAGGUCAAGAGAUCACUAUUAUCAUAAAUCAUCUUGCCUUAUCUUAAUAUAUACUAAUAUAUCCACAUGAAUGUAUCAUCACUUAAAUAACUUAAGACUUGUUAUUGUUAAUAUGUACGUGUAGAUUAUUUACUUGAUAAUAUAACAAGAGAAAUUGCUAACAUUCUCCCACUUGAUCUACUACACAUAUAUUAACCUUUAUUCAACCAUAUAAACAAUCUUUAAUGCAUGCUUUGUAUAUUUUUCUUUUUAAGUCUACACUCGGUCUCAUAAAGACUACAAUAAUAAAUCACAGCGUCACUAUGUCUAAAUGUGCAACGUAGAAACUUCUGUGUAUCACAUUACGUUCGUCUUUAUUAACAUUAGCUUCAUGUGGUAGUGCAGCAAACUGAAUGAUACUUUAUAUAUGUAUCAUUUUAUUGUCAGUCCUCUGUAAUCUAAUCCUUAUGGUGAGCCCAUACUCACACUAGACAUUAUUUAUGAUUCUCAUGAACCAUAAUCAAUUUAUGUAUCAUUUUUCUUCUUUAUUGUGAAAUACAUCACACAAAAAAAAAAUGUAUACCUACUUUAUUAUUUUCUCAUCUUUAUUGUAAAAACCAUCACAAAAGAAAAUUUUAACUUUAUAAUUUCAUUCUUAUUGUGAAAAUCAUCACAAGAGUAAAAUUUAACUUUAUAAUCUCAUCCUUAUUAUGAAAUUCAUCACCGGAGACCUUGUUUAAUUUCUUAAUUCAUUCUCACAAAUCAAUCAGAGUUAAAUAAGAAAUUGACAAAUCAUUUAUUAAAAUACAAUUAUUGAAGUUUUGAUAAUCUAAUAAAUAAAUUAAAACUGAGUAUAAAUAAUAAUAAUAAAUUAUUACAAGAUUGAAAAUAUAAAAUAUUACAUAUGGAAAUAAAAUUACUUUCACUUAAACGAUGACAUCCCAAGAACCCAACAAACUCAUUGCUAAAAUAUGUGAAUUUAGUAUGUUAGGUUGUCCUUUAGUGAGUGGAUCAGCUAGCAUAUCAUUAGUACUAAUAUGACCGACUAUGAUAUCAUUUUCUCUACCUUUUUCUUUGAUUUUUAGAUACUUCAAUUUUAUAAACUUUGUAGAUGUGAUACUUUUGUUGUUGUUAAUACUCAACACUGUCGAAAGGUUAUCACAGUAUAUUUGAAUUGGUCUUUCAACAAAAUUGAAAACUUUCAAUUGUUAAAUGAAACUUUUUAACCAACUUGAUUGAAUUGAAACUCCAAAGCAUGAAAUAAAUUCAGCUUCCAUGGUUGAUGUGGCUAUUAACUUUUGUUUUUCACUUCUCCAAGAUACAGCACCACCUGCCAUUUUGAAGAUAUAACCAGAGGUUGACUUCUUUUCAUCUUUACAUCCAGCAAAAUCUGAGUCUAAAUAUCCAACUAGAUUCAAGUUUUCAACUCGAGUAUAUGUUAAUCUAUAAUUUCGAGUACGUUUUAAAUAUCUCAAAACUUUCUUCGCAACAACCCAAUGAUCCAAGCCUGGAUUAACUUGAUAUCUUCCUAAGAGUCCAACCACAAAUGCAAUAUCUGGUCUAGUGCAUACCUGAGCAUACAUUAGACUUCCAUAAGGAAAUGCUUUCAUUUCAUUCUUCUGUAAGUCUGUUAGAGGACAUUCAGCUAAAUUCAAUUGAUCACCUUUUACAAUUGAAGCAACACUUGACUUACAUUCUGAGAGAUUAAACCUUUGUAAUCUACGAUCGAUGUAAGCUGAUUGAGAAAGACCUAACAAAUGUCUAGAUCGAUUUCUGUUGAUCUCAAUACCAAGAACAAAAGAUGCUUCACCCAAAUCUUUCAUAUCAAAUUCACUUGAUAAGAAUUUCUUUGUUUCAAAUAAUAUACUUAAAUCGUUGCAAGUAAGUAAUAUAUCUUCAACGUAUAGAACAAGCAAAACAUAUUUGCUCCCACUGACCUUGUGAUAUAUACAUGGAUCCAUGAGAUUUUCAGAAAAACCAUAUGAAGAAAUGAUUUCAUGGAAUUUAAUAUGUCAUUGUCUUGAUGCUUGUUUAAGUCCAUAUAUAGACUUUUUAAGCCUACAAACAAGCUUGUCAUUUUUUUCAAAACCUUGUGGUUGCUUCAUAUAUAUUUCUUCAUUGAGAUUCCCAUUAAGAAAAGCGUUUUUAACAUCCAUUUGAUGUAGUUCUAGAUUAUAGUGAGCCACUAAAGCCAUAAUGAUUCUAAAAGAAUUCUUCGAGGAAACUGGUGAAAAUGUUUCAUGAUAUUCAAUUGUCUCUCUUUGAGUGAAUCCUUUGGCAACCAAUCUAGCCUUAAACUGCUAAAUCUUUCCUAUGGAAUCUAAUUUGGUUUUAAAAACCCAUUUGCAACUCACAACUUUAACACCCUCAGGUAACUGAAUAAGUUUUCAUUCUUUAUUAUGGUACAUAGACUGCAUCUCAUCUUUCAUUUCAUCUUGCCACAAAUCACAUUGUGCACUUACAACUGCUUGAUCAUAUGAAAUAGGGUCAACUGUAUUACUACAACCAAUGUCAUAGUUGUGUUCUCCUAAAUAAACUUCAUAAUCAUUAGGGAUAGCUGAUCUUCUUUCUCGAGUAGACCUCCUUGGUUCAAUAACUAGUGGAUCUACCGGUGUAAUAAUUGGUUAAUCAACUUGAGCAAUAACUGGUGUGUCAACGGAUGUCACUGAAGAUGUGGUUGGUGUAAUCGAAAAUAAGGGUAUAACUACUGUUGAUGGUUGAUGGUCCAAUGAAUUAGAAACCUCUGAAGUAUUAACAUCUGCUACAUCAUUUUUUAAGAAUUUUGCUGUUCGAGAAUCUACAAUUAUUGUUCCACCAUGAGGUCUAUAAAAACGAUAUUCCUUAGAAUGAUUCGGAUAUCCCACAAAAUAGCAUGUCACUGUUCUUGAAUCUAACUUGUCUAAUGUUGGAUUGUAUAAUUUCACCCCUACAGGAUAACCCCAAAUCUUCAAAUGAUUUAAACUAGGUUUUCUACCUGUCCAAAGUUCAAAAGGUGUAACUAGUACUGACUUACUUGGGACUCGAUUCAAAAUAUACAAUGCUGCUUGUAUUGCUUCACCCCACAAGAAUGUUGGUAAAUUUGCUUUACUAGUCAUGCUUCUCACCAUAUCCAUUAGGGUACGAUUUCUUCUUUCUGCCGCUCCAUUCUGCUCAGGAGUUCCUGACAUAGUGUAUUGCCCAAUUAUUCCAGAUUCUUCCAAAUAUUGUGCAAAAGGACCUUUAAGUUGUCCAACAUCUCCAUGUUUACCGGAAUAUUCUCCACCUCUAUCUAUCUGAUCUAACAAUCUUUAUAGAUUUUUUCAAUUGUUUCUCAACUUCUGUUUUGAAUACUUUAAAUUUCUCUAAAGAUUCAUAUUUUUCUUUGAUAAGAAACAAAUAGCCAUAUUUAGAAAAAUCAUCUAUAAAUGUUAUAAAAUAUAAGCAUCCACACAAAGUUUUAUGAUAUGGUCCAUUAAUAUCCGUAUAAAUAAUCUCCAAAAGACUAGUGUUACGAGUAGCAGUCUUUUUCCCUUUCUUGGUCAUUUUCCUCAUAAGACAAUCAAUACAUUCUGCAUGGUCAUUAUCUAAAGAAGGAAGAAUGGUCGAUUUAACCAAUCUUUUAAUUCUAUCUUGUGAAAUAUGAUCUAACCUUUUAUGCCAUAAUGUAUAUGAUUUUUUUUUAUUUAAGGGUCUUUUGGAAACUGUAUUUUCCACAUUAUAAGCUAUAUAGAUCUUCAUAGAAUCAAGACAUAAUCUGUAUAGGUCAUAAGACAAAACACAAUUACCCAUAAUCUUUGAGUUAAGAAACAUUGAAACUGUAUUGUUCUUAAAUUCAAAAGAAAAACCAUGUUUGCUUAAUUUACUAACAGAAAUUAGAUUCCGUCUAAACGACGGAGCAUACAAAGUGUCUUUCAAUGUUAAACCAAAUCCUGAAUCUAGAUUUAAAAUAACAUCGCCCACAAAUUCUACAUCAGUUUGUCCAUCAUUUCCUACGAACAAUCUUGAUUCAUCCUGAUUUGGCUUCCUUCUAUUUGUGAAUCCCUGUAUGGUGAAUGCAACAUGAUUAGUUGCUCCACUAUCCAACCACCAAGAACUAGAUGAAGAUUCUAUUAAAUUAGAUUCAUAAACUAAUGUCAAAGAAUCAAUACCUUUUUGUUCCUGUUUUAUGAGACAAGAUUUAUACUUUAAGCAAUUCUUCUUUAUGUGUCCUGGUUUCUUACAGAAGAAACAUCCAUUGAUUGCUUUCUUGAGGGAGUUCUUGUUAGGACCAAAUUUGUCAGAUAAGUUGGUAUCCUUAGAAUCUUUAUUUUUCACAAACUUUUUGAACUUAAAUCCUUUCUUAUUUGAACUAUACAUUGUUAUCGAAGAUUUUUCGCCUUUUAUUUUAUCCCCCAUGUCUCCAAAUAAUUAUUUCUUUUAAUUCGAGCCCAUGCUCGCGGGUUCGAGCCCGGGCCCGAGCCUGACAAUUCUUAAAACGAGCCGAGCCCGAGCCUGGCUCUAUAAGCAAAAGCUCGACUUGUUUGACACCCUAAUCUCAGAUAAAUAUUCCGAGAAUAUUUUGCCACUUAUCUUCAAAUUCUGAAGUUUUUUGGCGUAGACUCAUCACAUGCGAUCGAGAAUUAGAUGCAAAUUGCAUUUGAAGUGUUUUCCAUACCUCAUGUGCCGUAGCACAAUCAGAGACUUCCGACAGUACCAAGGGUGAAAUUGAUGAAAAUAGCCAUCCUAAAAUCAAUUGAUCUUGCUUGAUGGCAAAAGAGUUGCCCAAUUUUUCCCUACCGUCCAGAUAGUCCAUCAGCUCAUGACCUCGGAUAUUAGCCCCAAAUUGGGCUCUCCACGCGUAGCAGUUGCUGCGGUCUAGGGCUACAGUCUUGAAGUUCUUGGCGGUCACCUUUCCUGGUGCGUCGUUGCCAUAGAGCUUCUUUGCAGCCAACGAAAUCCCUUUGUCAGCUUCGUCAAUCGACAUUGCGUAUCGGAAAAAAAUUGUGAUCGUCAACGAUCUUGGAGCGAUUCCGAUGAUCAGAGAUGUGCGGCUUCCCAAGAUCAGCUAGGCGAAAGAUACCAUAACAGUGAAUUGAAAUAUAUGAAUGGGGAAAGCCAAACUUGAUCCCUUUCAUAUUCAAUAGUAAGAUCUAUUUAUACAAUUUGUUACUCUAAUAUCCUAUUUGUUUGUUCUUUUGUAUUAUCGAUAUUUAUUGUCUAUUUUUUAUAAUGUUCUUGUCUAUUUUUAUAUUUACAGUCUAUGGUUUUUAGUCCUUGAUACUUGAUAGAUAUUUGAUAUCUAUUAUAUAUUUUAUCUAUUUUUGUGGUUUCUUUGUCGUUUUCUUUAUUGAUUUUUAUUCAUUCUUGUUCUAUUAAUAGGUUACCAAAUUAUUGUUCUAUUUGAAGAAGAGAGUUUCCCAUCUCUUACUCGGGUACCUUCUCCAAGUUAUAAGGAACCAGAUGGAAGCCAUUGAAUUGUUAGUCUACCUUCCUCCAUUGGAGUCUGAGGCAUAGAUGGACCGAAAGGGGAAUCAUCUAGCUUUAGAUGGGGGAGGAGAGCACGACUUGUGCUAGAACUUCUUCAAGAAAUUUGACAAAUUUACGCUUCUCAACCUUACUCAUGGCUCUCGCGUCUUGAUGUUUCAAGAGUUUCUCGUGGAGGGUACGUAAGGCUAUCCCCAACUGAAUCUUUGACUGGGGGAGAGAUGAUUCCGUCAGGGAAUUUAAUGUAAAAAUUCGAAAAACAAACAGAUAACAUUAUUAUUAGAGGAAACGUUUCAAAUAAAAUAUUUAAAAUGAUAUAUUUUGUGAAAUAUUAAUUUAGAACGUUCAAUUAUUUUAAAUUAAAUGAAACACAUCUUAAGGUAGAUCAUAUCUCCAGGUUGUAUAUCUCAAUUUACUCCAAAUAAAUAUGUUAGAUUAAUAUCUCAUUUGAAGUUUACCCAAUUAAUAGAUGAGAGGUCGGAGAUCGAACGACAGGAUGAAAUUAGUGGAAUGUUUUAGAGAUUAAUUUUAUACCAUUUAAAUGAAAUAAAAGAGUACUUAUAGUAUUACAAUAUUUGUAAUUAAUUAAUUAAUUCUAAAGGAUUUUUAAUAUAAAAAUUCUAAUUGGAGAAGCGGUCUUCCGCUUCUCUCUCCGGCUCGGACCCGGUUCAUCACCGUUGGGUGAUUUUUGUUUACCGUGGUCUUCCCCCAAUUAAGUUAGGAUUUAGUUCGUCUUCUUCAACAACAACUCUUCUAAUCGUCGUGCUAUCUUCCUGGAUAGUGGAGCAGUCUAUCAGCAUCAUAUCAUCGUCGGCUUCUUCAGAUUCGGCAUUGUCUUCAAUGUUGAUAGGAGGGAAAAGACGCAACACAUCUUCAUGAAAUUCCCAAGACGAGUCCUCCGGUAUCGCUCCAUUCCAAGCGACCAGCCAUUGAUUUCUCUGUCUCGAUCUCACCCUGAAAAAUGGUACGCUUAUUAGAAUAAAUAACUUCUACUGUUUUUUUAGUUGAGUUUAAUAUUCUCAAAUACAAGUUUAUACAAUGAGUUAGCUGUUAGAGGUUAAUUAGUUUUAGAUACUCUUUCUUAUAAAUACUUUUGUAAGACUGCAUUCUUGGUUAAUGAAUUGAGUUCUUUCUUUUGAGAUUAUUGUUGAAUUGAACUUGAAACAAGCACCAAAAUCUUGGUACUCAAGACUGAGUGCAUUCCUAAUAUUAAAUGAAUUCUCUAACAGUCUGGCAGAUACAUUAUUGUUUCAAAAAAAAGAUAAUUUUUUAAUUUGAGUAAUUGUGUAUAUAUAUAGAUGACAUUAUAAUUUCAAGAAACAACAACAUUGAAAUUGAAGUUUUUAUUAAAAAUCUUUGUACUGCAUGAAUUUAGAUGUAGAGACCUAGGACUUUUGAAAUAUUUCUUUAGUAUAGAAAUUAGAUACAAUUUUGAUGGGUCACUUAACAUGACUCAAUCUAGAUAUGCAUUGAAUAUUUUAAGUAAAAACAACAUGCUAAAUUGUAAACUCAUAAGAACAUCAAUAUUGCAAAUUCCAAAUUGUCCAAAGAAAAUGGAGAAUUGUUAUAAGAUAUAGCAGCUUAUAGAGCCUUAGUUGGAUCCUUACAGUACAUACUUGGCACAAACAAGGCCCUGAUUUUAUUUAUGCAAUAAAUCAAGUGACUCAAUUUGUACAAGCUCCUAGAACUACUCACCUAGUAGCGGCCAAGAGAAUACUAAUGUAUAUAAAAUGAAUUUUAGAUCAUGGUCUUCAUUUUACCAAUACCAAAAGAACUGCCAUAAAUUGAUAGGUUUUUGUGAUGCUGAUCGAUUUUGCUGGUGAUCCAGACACCAGAAAAUCAACAACAGGCUAUUGUGUAUAUAUCGGAGGAAAUCUAGUGACAUGGUCAUCAAAGAAAUAGACAAUUAUUUCAAGAUCCAGUGCUAAGGCUCAAUAUAGAGCCUUAGCAAGUCAUACAACUGAAAUUAGAUGGACUCACUUCAUAUGUAAGGACCUUCUAUAUAAUUUACAUCAGAUACCUUUGUUAUAUACAGAUAACAGUUCAGCCAUUUUUAUGGCUAGAAACUGUUAAGUUUUGAUAUGUGUAUGAAAUAUAAUCCAAGUAUGGUUUAAUGAUUAAUCCAGAGUAAAGUAAAAUAGUGUUGAUGCAACGGAUAAUAUUGAUUGUUUAAUUUAUCUAAUGAGUAUGAUCAAGAUGUGUUGCAGGUAGAUAAUGUUUGACAGGGAUGAUAUAUAUAUGAUUUGUCCAAGUAGAUGCGGAGAUAUGUGUAUGCAUGCAAUAGAUAUCAGGUAUGAUAUAUAUAUGAAAUGUAAGCAGAUGAUUUAGCAAUACUGAGAUCGUUUGGAGAGCAAGGAGAUGACGAUGUAGGAGAGUCGAUGACUGAGUGUAGAGCAGAUCGGAGUGAAGCUGAUGAUGACUUUGAUCCACAGAUGAUGAUUAAUCCCAAAGGGAGUAUGAUUUUGAAACUUAGUAUCACAAACUGUAAAACAAUGUUAGGUUUGAGUUUGAUAUAUAUAGAUGGUUUAAAUGUUUGAUUCCAGCUUACAACGGUCAUAAGCUCAAGGUUCAACUGGCGCUUGUUGUCACUGUUGCUGAAGGCAAAGGUGACAUUAAGUGAUGGUUGGAGCUUCCUAGGAUUUUUACCAUAUUAAAGGUUUAGGUAUUAAAUUGAUCAUGUAAGGGUUUAAAUUAUAAAUUGGUUAAUGAGGGUUCAUAUUGUAAAUGUUGUAAAUGGAUUUAUGUAAUAAUUUUAUACGCCCCCUCAAAAGCGAGUUGGGCUGAAAAGAAACGAACUUUUGGACUGGUCCAUGUUCCAAUCUUUAAAUAUAAAAAGGGUUUUGUAAAUUUGAUUUUGGUUGUAAACACGAAUCGUCUUGUAGGGUUUCAGAGGGAAAUGAGGGUUUCACUGGAGGCAAGGGUUUGCUGGAGGCAAUCGUUCGGGUAUGUUUCUAGUCUUCUUCUUUUGUGCAUGUCGCUCUAUUCCUCUUGUUUAUGUUGUCUUUGGUUGGGUAUCCUUAUUCAUUUGUAUUCUUAAUGGGUUUUGUAGUGGGUGUUCUGUCUGUUAAUGUGUUUGCAUGUCAGUGUUUUCUUUCUUGGUGUUUGUUUUCCUUCAUCCAUUGUGUUUGUUUUCCUCUAUCAGUCUGUUCCGUGUAAGUUUUCCAUUUUCAGUUUCUUUUUGAGAUGAUUGAAUAGAUAUCCUGUAACAUCUUUUGUGAAGAUGUCUUCCACGUUUUCUUUGGUGUUUACCCUUUCUAUUUCAAUCUCUUUUUGUAAAGCUUUGUCUCUGAUCGUGUGUGUAUCGAUUUCUAUGUGUUUUGUUCUUAAUUUGAUGUAAGACUGGGUUUGUUGCAAUUGCAGUUGCAGAGGAACUAUUAAUUUGUAUAGAGUUUUGGAGUUACUAUAUUUACUUGCAUUUCCUUUAAUAGUUGUUUUAGCCAUGUGAUUUCACAAGUUGUGUGUGCUAAGGGUCGGUACUCUGCCUCUGCUGACGAUCUUGUUACUGUAUGUUGUUUUUUGGUUUGCCAUGAAACUAGGUUAUCAUUCAAGAAGAUGGCAAAUCCUGAUGUGGAUCGUCUGGUUGUGGGGAAAGAGGCCCAGUCAGAGUCUGAAAAUACUUUAAUCCUUGCGGUUCUUGUGCCUGAUGAGAAGAAAAGUCCACUUCCUGGUGAGUUUUUAAUGUAUCUUAAUAUUUUGUUCACCUUAGUAGAGUCUUCAUUUGUUGGUUCUGACAUGUGUUGGCUUAGUUGGUUUACUACAUAUGUUAUAUCGGGUUUGGUUACAGUUAGGUAGACAAGUUUUCCAACUAUGCAUCUGUACUCAGUAGGAUCAUCAAGUAAUUUAAUUUCCUUGUUCUGUUUGUUUGACGAUCUUGAUGGUGUAUAGAGUGGGUAUUCUCCUGGUUUAGCAUGUAGAUAGUUGUUUUGUUCAAGGAUUUCUAAUGCAUAUUUUCUUUGGCUUAUAAAAAUCCCAUGUUGUGUUGUUGUGAAUUCUAAUCCUAAGAAUUUUUUUAAUGUUCCUAGAUCUUUGAUGUUAAAAAAACUGGUUAAAUCUGUCUUAAGUUUGAUUAUUUCUUUUAAGUUAUUUCCUGUGAUUAAUAGAUCAUCUACAUAUGGUAGGAUGAAAAUUUUAUUUUUCCCAUUGAUCUUACCGAAGAGAGCAUAAUCCUCUCUUGUCUGUUUAAAACCUAAUUUGUUUAGUACUUGUUGUAGUUUGUUAAACCACAUUCUAGAUAUUUGUUUUAAGCUAUAUAGAGGUUUUGUUAAUUUGCAUGCUAGUUUGUGGUUGUCUGUUGGUUCUUUGUUGAUCCUUAGACCUUGGUGAGACAUGCCUGAUUACGACAGUCACUCCCAGCAACGCCUUUCAAUAAGGACUAGGGUUCCGUCACUUUACCCCCGGAAGGCUCCCACGGUGCGGAACAAGUUCAUCGUCAAAUCGCGAGUUAACCCGUAAAUCGCGAUUGGACUACCAAAUCGCCGAUUUUAUGGACAAAUCGUUGAGUUAGGGCCCAGAUCGGCAGUAUGGUAGACUGCAUAUCUCGCCCCUUGAAACUCGACGAGUUUACCCUAAUAGGCGAUUUUCAUACCUGAAUCGUCGAUUUACGACCGUUACUCGCCGCCAGCCAACGCCAUAAAUGAACCCAUAUAUGGCAAUAGGCCUCGAUAUCCUCCUUUGAUCGCGCCCUCCGAGACCCUAUAAAAAGGGUCCCAAGGGGACACUCAAAGGCACAACACAAGUUCCACUCUCACCAGAGCACCACUAAGAGAAUCGCCGAUUUCCACACCAGAAUCGCCGAUUCUCUCCUUUCAGGUAUUUGACGUAGAGCGCGCGUCGUGGACUCCAGAGCCUCCGGCAUCACCUCGCACUACCGCGAGCCUUGGUAGCAGAUUCAGUGCUUCAUCAGAAGGCAUUUUGAACAUCCAUCUGAUGGAGGUGCCAUCCUUGGUGAGACAUGCCUGAUUACGGCAGUCACUCCCAGCAACGCCUUUCAACAAGGACUAGGGUUCCGUCGCUUUGGCCGGACCCCCGGAGAGCUCCCACGGUGCGGAACACGUUAAUCGUCCAGAUCGCCGAGUUAGCCCGUAAGUCGCCCGAUUGGACUACCAAGUCUCCGACAUAAAGGAUAAGUCGCCGAUUUAAGGGCAAGAUCGGCAGUAUGGUAGACUGCACAUCUUGCCACUGGAAACUCGGCGAGUUAGCCCUAACUAGGCGACUUCCAUACCUGAAUCGCCGACUUACGAAAGUUACUCGCCACCAGCCAACGUCAAAAAUGUUACCAUAUAUGACCAAAGGCGCGAUGUCCGCCUUUGAUUGCGCCCUCCAAGACCCUAUAAAAAGGGUCCCAAGGGGACACUCAAAGGCAUGAUUCAAGUUCCUCUCUCACACCAGAGCAUCACUAAGAAACUCGUUGAUUCUCAUUAGAAUCGCCUAGUUUCUCCUUGCAGGUAUUUGACGUAGAGCGCGCGUCGUGGACUCCGGAGCCUCCGGCAUCACCUCGCACCACCGCGAGCCCUAGUAGCAGAUUCAGUGCUUCAUCAAAUGUUCUUCAGAAAAUCGAGAAUACAACUUGUACGUCACUGUUCUUUUAUUAUUUGGUUAUUUACAGUCUAUGGUUUUUAGUCCUUGAUAGAUAUUAGAUAUUUAAUAUUAUUUAUCUAAUAUAGGUUUUAUCUAUUUUUGUGGAUUUCUUUGUCGUUUUCUUUACAUGUCGAAUUUUAUUUAUUCUUGUUCUAUUAAUAGGUUAAUAAAUUCUUGUUCUAUUUGAAGAAGAGAGUUUCCCACCUCUUCCUCAGGUACGUACCUUCUCCAAGUUAUAACGGACCUGAUGGAGGUUAUUGAAUUCUUAAUCUACCCUCCUCCAUUAUAGUCUGGGGCAUAGAUGGGCAGGAAGGGGAAUCAUCUUUAGAUGGAGGUGAUCGCCACCACUAAGUCAGACUUUAUAACAUUCCGGUGAUGGAUAUACACUUCCGAUGUUAUAAAAUCAUAUUUAAAAAUCCAACCUUGUCUCUGAUACCAAAUGAUAGAAAUUAUCAUACUUUAUGAUCUAAGAUUUUUAUAUCAACAACCCAAUGAUCCAAGCCUGGAUUAACUUGAUAUCUUCCUAAGAGUCCAACCACAAAUGCAAUAUCUGGUCUAGUGCAUACCUGAGCAUACAUUAGACUUCCAUAAGGAAAUGCUUUCAUUUCAUUCUUCUGUAAGUCUGUUAGAGGACAUUGAGCUAAAUUCAAUUUAUCACAUUUUACAAUUGAAGCAACACUUGACUUACAUUCUGAGAGAUUAAACCUUUGUAAUAUACGAUCGAUGUAAGCUGAUUGAGAAAGACCUAACAAAUGUCUAGAUCGAUUUCUGUUGAUCUCAAUACCAAGAACAAAAGAUGCUUCACCCAAAUCUUUCAUAUCAAAUUCACUUGAUAAGAAUUUCUUUGUUUCAAAUAAUAUACUUAAAUCGUUGCAAGCAAGUAAUAUAUCAUCAACGUAUAGAACAAGCAAAACAUAUUUGCUCCCUCUGACCUUGUGAUAUAUACAUGGAUCCAUGAGAUUUUCCGAAAAACCAUAUGAAGAAAUGAUUUCAUGGAAUUUAAUAUGUCAUUGUCUUGAUGCUUGUUUAAGUCCAUAUAUAGACUUUUUAAGUCUACAAACAAGCUUGUCAUUUUCUUCAAAACCUUGUGGUUGCGUCAUAUAUAUUUCUUCAUUGAGAUUCCCAUUAAGAAAAGCGGUUUUAACAUCCAUUUGAUGUAGUUCUAGAUUGUAGUGAGCCACUAAAGCCAUAAUGAUUCUAAAAGAAUUCUUCGAGGAAACUGGUGAAAAUGUUUCAUGAUAUUCAAUUCUCUCUCUUUGAGUGAAUCCUUUGGCAACCAAUCUAGCCUUAAACCGCUAAAUCUUUCCUCUGGAAUCUCAUUUGGUUUUAAAAGCCCAUUUGCAACUCACAACUUUAACACCCUCAGGUAACUGAAUAAGUUCUCAUUCUUUAUUAUGGUACAUAGACUGCAUCUCAUCUUUCAUUUCAUCUUGCCACAAAUUAAUCACAUUGUGCACUUGCAACCGCUUGAUCAUAUGAGAUAGGGUCAACUGUACUACUACAACCAAUGUCAUAGUCGUAUUCUCCUAAAUAAACUUCAUAAUCAUUAGGGAUAGCUGAUCUUCUUUCUCGAGUAGUCCUCCUUGGUUCAAUAACUAGUGGAUCUACUGGUGUAAUAAUUGGUUCAUCAACUUGAGCAAUAACUGGUGUGUCAACGGAUGUCACUGAAGAUGUGGUUGGUUUAAUCGAAAAUAAGGGUAUAACUACUGUUAAUGGUUGAUGGUCCAAUGAAUUAGAAACCUCUGAAGUAUUAACAUCUGCUACAUCAUUUUCUAAGAAUUUUGCUGUUCGAGAAUCUACAAUUAUUGUUCCACCAUGAGGUCUAUAAAAUCGAUAUACCUUAUAAUGAUUCGGAUAUCCCACAAAAUAGCAUGUCACUGUUCUUGAAUCUAACUUGUUUAAUGUUGGAUUGUAUAAUUUCACCCCUACAGGAUAACCCCAAAUCUUCAAAUGAUUUAAACUAGGUUUUCUACCUGUCCAAAGUUCAAAAGGUGUAACUGGUACUGACUUACUUGGGACUCGAUCAAAAUAUACAAUGCUGCUUGUAUUGCUUCACCCCACAAGAAUGUUGUUAAAUUUGCUCUACUAGUCAUGCUUCUCACCAUAUCCAUUAGGGUACGAUUUCUUCUUUCUGCCGCUCCAUUCUGCUCAGGAGUUCCUGACAUAGUGUAUUGCCCAAUUAUUCCAGAUUCUUCCAAAUAUUAUGCAAAAGGACCUUUAAGUUGUCCAACAUCUCCAUGUUUACCGUAAUAUUCUACACCUCUAUCUAUCUGAUCUAACAAUCUUUAUAGAUUUUUCCAAUUGUUUCUCAACUUCUGUUUUGAAUACUUUAAAUUUCUCUAAAGAUUCAUAUUUUUCUUUGAUAAGAAACAAAUAGCCAUAUUUAGAAAAAUCAUCUAUAAAUGUUAUAAAAUAUAAGCAUCCACACAGAGUUUUAUGAUAUGGUCCACUAAUAUCCGUAUAAAUAAUCUCCAAAAGACUAGUGUUACGAGUAGCAGUCUUUUUGCCUUUCUUGGUCAUUUUCCUCUUAAGACAAUCAAUACAUUCUGCAUUGUCAUUAUCUAAAGAAGGAAGAAUGGUCGAUUUAACCAAUCUUUUAAUUCUAUCUUGUGAAAUAUGAUCUAACCUUUUAUGCCAUAACGUAUAUGAUUUUUCUUUAUUUAAGGGUCUUUUGGAAACUGUAUUUUCCACAUUACAAGCUAUAUAGAACUUCAUAGAAUCAAGACAUAAUCUGUAUAGGUCAUAAGACAAAACACAAUUACCCAUAAUCUUUGAGUUAUGAAACAUUGAAACUGUAUUGUUCUUAAAUUCAAAAGAAAAACCAUGUUUUCUUAAUUUACUAACAGAAAUUAGAUUCCGUCUAAACGACGGAGCAUACAAAGUGUCUUUCAAUGUUAAACCAAAUCCUGAAUCUAGAUUUAAAAUAACAUCGCCCACAAAUUCUAAAUCAGUUUGUCCAUCAUUUCCUACUAACAAUCUUGAUUCAUCCUGAUUUGGCUUCCUUCUAUUUGUGAAUCCCUGUAUGGUGAAUGCAACAUGAUUAGUUGCUCCACUAUCCAACAACCAAGAACUAGAUGAAGAUUCUAUUAAAUUAGAUUCAUAAACUAAUGUCAAAGAAUCAAUACCUUUUUGUUCCUGUUUUAUGAGCCAAGAUUUAAACUUUAAGCAAUUCUACUUUAUGUGUCCCGGUUUCAUACAGAAGAAACAUCCAUUGAUUGCUUUCUUGAGGGAGUUCUUGUUAGAACCAAAUUUGUCAGAUAAGUUGGUAUCCUUAGAAUCUUUAUUUUUCACAAACAUUUUGAACUUAAAUCCUUUCUUAUUUGAACUAUACAUUGUUAUCGAAGAUUUUUCGCCUUUUAUUUUAUCUCCUAUGUCUCCAAAUAAUUAUUUCUUUUAAUUCGAGCCCAGCUCGCGGGUUCGAGCCCGGGCCCAAACCUAACAAUUCUUAAAACGAGCCGAGCCCGAGCCUGGCUCUAUAAGCAAAAGCUCAACUUGUUUGACACCCUAAUCUCUGAUAAAUAUUCCGAGAAUAUUUUGCCACUUAUCUUCAAAUUCUGAAGUUUUUUGGCGUAGACUCAUCACAUACGAUCGAGAAUUAGAUGCAAAUUGCAUUUGAAGUGUUUCCCAUACCUCAUGUGCCGUAGCACAAUCAGAGACUUCCGACAGUACCGAGGGUGAAAUUGAUGAAAAUAGCCAUCCUAAAAUCAAUUGAUCUUGCUUGAUGGCAAGAGAGUUGUCCAAUUUUUCCCUACCGGCCAGAUAGUCCAUCAGCUCAUGACCUCGGAUAUUAGCCCCAAAUUGGGCUCUCCACGCGAAGUAAUUGCUGCGGUCUAGGGCUACAGUCUUGAAGUUCUUGGCGGUCACCUUUCCUGGUGCGUCGUUGCCAUAGAGCUUCUUUGCAGCCAGCGAAAUCCCUUUGUCAGCUUCGUCAAUCGACAUUGCGUAUCGGAAAAAAAUUGUGAUCGUCAACGAUCUUGGAGCGAUUCCGAUGAUCAGAGAUGUGCGGCUUCCCAAGAUCAGCUAGGCGAAAGGUACCAUAACAGUGAAUUGAAAUAUAUGAAUGGGGAAAGCCAAACUCGAUCCCUUUCAUAUUCAAUAGAAAGAUCUAUUUAUACAAUUUGUUACUCUAAUAUCCUAUUUGUUUGUUCUUUUGUAUUAUCGAUAUUUAUUGUCUAUUUUUUAUAAUGUUCUUGUCUAUUUUUAUAUUUACAGUCUAUGGUUUUUAGUCCUUGAUACUUGAUAGAUAUUUGAUAUCUAUUAUAUAUUUUAUCUAUUUUUAUGGUUUCUUUGUCGUUUUCUUUAUUCAUUUUUAUUCAUUCUUGUUCUAUUAAUAGGUUACCAAAUUCUUGUUCUAUUUGAAGAAGAGAGUUUCCCAUCUCUUACUCGGGUACCUUCUCCAAGUUAUAAGGAACCAGAUGGAGGCCAUUGAAUUGUUAGUCUACCUUCCUCCAUUGGAGUCUGAGGCAUAGAUGGACCGAAAGGAGAAUCAUCUAGCUUUAGAUGGUGGAGGAGAGCACGACUUGUGCUAGAACUUGUUCAAGAAAUUUGACAAAUUUACGCUUCUCAACCUUACUCAUGGCUCUCGCGUCUUGAUGUUUCAAGAGUUGUUCGUGGAGGGUACGUAAGGCUAUCCCCAAUUGAAUCUUUGACUGGGGGAGAGAUGAUUCCGUCAGGGAAUUUAAUGUAAAAAUUCGAAAAACAAACAGAUAACAUUAUUAUUAGAGGAAAUGUUUCAAAUAAAAUAUUUAAAAUGAUAUAUUUUGUGAAAUAUUAAUUUAGAACGUUCAUUUAUUUUAAAUUAAAUGAAACACAUAUUAAGGUAGAUCAUAUCUCGAGGUUGUAUAUCUCAAUUUACUCCAAAUAAAUAUGUUAGAUUAAUAUCUCAUUUGAAGUUUACCCUAUUAAUAGAUGAGAGAUCGGAGAUCGAACGACAGGAUGGAAUUAGUGGAAUGUUUUAGAGAUUAAUUUUAUACCAUUUAAAUGAAAUAAAAGAGUACUUAUACUAUUACAAUAUUUGUAAUUAAUUAAUUCUAAAGGAUUUUUAAUAUAAAAAUUCUAAUUGAAGCAGCGGUCUUCCGCUUCUCUCUCCGGCUCGGACCCGGUUCAUCACCGUUGGGUGAUUUUUUUUUACCGUGGUCUUCCCCCAAUUAAGUUAGGAUUUAGGUCGUCUUCUUCAACAACAACUCUUCUAAUCGUCAUGCUAUCUUCCUGGAUAGUGGAGCAGUCUAUCAGCAUCAUAUCAUCGUCGGCUUCUUCAGAUUCGGCAUUGUCUUCAAUGUUGAUAGGAGGGAAAAGACGCAACACAUCUUCAUGAAAUUCCCAAGACGAGUCCUCCGGUAUCGCUCCAUUCCAAGCGACCAGCCAUUGAUUUCUCUGUCUCGAUCUCACCCUGAAAAAUGGUACGUUUAUUAGAAUAAAUAACUUCUACUGUUUUGUUAGUUGAGUUUAAUAUUCUCAAAUACAAGUUUAUACAAUGAGUUAGUUGUUAGAGGUUAAUUAGUUUUAGAUACUCUUUCUUAUAAAUACUUUUGUAAGACUGUAUUCUUGGUUAAUGAAUUGAGUUCUUUCUUUUGAGAUUAUUGUUGAAUUGAGCUUGAAACAAGCACCAAAAUCUUGGUACUCAAGACUGAGUGCAUUCCUAAUAUUAAAUGAAUUCUCUAACAGUCUGGCAGAUACAUUAUUGUUUCAAAAAAAAGAUAAUAUUUUAAUUUGAGUAAUUGUGUAUAUAUAUAGAUGACAUUAUAAUUUCAAGAAACAACAACAUUGAAAUUGAAGUUUUUAUUAAAAAUCUUUGUACUGCAUGAAUUUAGAUGUAGAGACCUAGGACUUUUGAAAUAUUUCUUUAGUAUAGAAAUUAGAUACAAUUUUGAUGGGUCACUUAACAUGACUCAAUCUAGAUAUGCAUUGCUUAUUUUAAGUAAAAACAACAUGCUAAAUUGUAAACUCAUAAGAACAUUAAUAUUGCCAAAUUCCAAAUUGUCCAAAGAAAAUGGAGAAUUGUCCAAAGAAAUUAAGAUGACACCAGAAAAUCAACAACAAGCUAUUGUGUAUAUAUCGGAGGAAAUCUAGUGACAUGGUCAUCAAAGAAAUAGACAACUAUUUCAAGAUCCAGUGCUGAGGCUCAAUAUAUAGCCUUAGCAAGUCAUACAACUGAAAUUAGAUGGACUCACUUCAUAUGUAAGGACCUUCUACAUAAUUUACAUCAGAAACCUUUGUUAUAUACAGAUAACAGUUCAGCCAUUUUUAUGGCUAGAAACUGUUAAGUUUUGAUAGGUGUAUGAAAUAUAAUCCAAGUAUGGUUUAAUGAUUAAUCCAGAGUAAAGCAAAAUAGUGUUGAUACAGCGGAUAGUAUUGAUUGUUUAAUUUAUCUAAUGAGUAUGAUCAAGAUGUGUUGCAGGUAGAUAAUGUUUGACAGGGAUGAUAUAUAUAUGAUUUGUCCAAGUAGAUGCGGAGAUAUGUGUAUGCAUGCAAUAGAUAUCAGGUAUGAUAUAUAUAUAUGCAGGUGAUUUAGCAAUACUGAGAUCGUUUGGAGAGCGAGGAGAUGACGAUGUAGGAGAGUCGAUGACUGAGUGUAGAGCAGAUCGGAGUGAAGCUGAUGAUGACUUUGAUCCACAGAUGAUGAUUAAUCCCAAAGGGAGUAUGAUUUUGAAACUUAGUAUCACAAACUGUAAAACAAUGUUAGGUUUGAAUUUGAUAUAUAUAGAUGGUUUAAAUGUUUGAUUCCAGCUUAUAACGGUCAUAAGCUCAAGGUUCAACUGGCGCUUGUUGUCAAUGUUGCUGAAGGCAAAGGUGGCAUCAAGUGAUGGUUGGACCUUCCUAGGAUUUCUAUCAUAUUGAAGGUUUAGGUAUUAAAUUGAUCAUGUAAGGGUUUAGAUUAUAAAUUGGUUAAUGAGGGUUCAUAUUGUAAAUGUUGUAAAUGGAUUUAUGUAAUAAUUUUAUACGCCCCCUCAAAAGCGAGUUGGGCUGAAAAGAAACGAACUUUUGGACUGGUCCAUGUUCCAAUCUUUAAAUAUAAAAAGGGUUUUGUAAAUUUGAUUUUGAUUAUAAACACGAAUCGUCCUGUAGGGUUUCAGCGGGAAAUGAGGGUUUCACUGGAAGCAAGGGUUUGCUGGAGGCAAUCGUUCGGGUAUGUUUCUAGUCUUCUUCUUUUGUGCAUGUCGCUCUAUUCCUCUUGUUUAUGUUGUCUUUGGUUGGGUAUCCUUAUUCAUUUGUAUUCUUAAUGGGUUUUGUAGUGGGUGUUCUGUCUGUUAAUGUGUUUGCAUGUCAGUGUUUUCUUUCUUGGUGUUUGUUUUCCUUCAUCCAUUGUGUUUGUUUUCCUCUAUCAGUCUGUUCUGUGUAAGUUUUCCAUUUUCAGUUUCUUUUUGAGAUGAUUGAAUAGAUAUCCUGUAACAUCUUUUGUGAAGAUGUCUUCCACGUUUUCUUUGGUGUUUACCCUUUCUAUUUCAAUCUCUUUUUGCAAAGCUUUGUCUCUGAUCGUGUGUGUAUCGAUUUCUAUGUGUUUUGUUCUUAAUUUGAUGUAAGACUGGGUUUGUUGCGAUUGCAGUUGCAGAGGAACUAUUAAUUUGUAUAGAGUUUUGGAGUUACUAUAUUUACUUGCAUUUCCUUUAAUAGUUGUUUUAGCCAUGUGAUUUCACAAGUUGUGUGUGCUAAGGGUCGGUACUCUGCCUCUGCUGACGAUCUUGUUACUGUAUGUUGUUUUUUGGUUUGCCAUGAAACUAGGUUAUCAUUCAAGAAGAUGGCAAAUCCUGAUGUGGAUCGUCUGGUUGUGGGGAAAGAGGCCCAGUCAGAGUCUGAAAAUACUUUAAUCCUUGCGGUUCUUGUGCCUGAUGAGAAGAAAAGUCCACUUGCUGGUGAGUUUUUAAUGUAUCUUAAUAUUUUGUUCAACUUAGUAGAGUCUUCAUUUGUUGGUUCUGACAUGUGUUGGCUUAGUUGGUUUACUACAUAUGUUAUAUCGGGUUUGGUUACAGUUAGGUAGACAAGUUUUCCAACUAUGCAUUUGUACUCAGUAGGAUCAUCAAGUAAUUUAAUUUCCUUGUUCUGUUUGUUUGACGAUCUUGAUGGUGUAUAGAGUGGGUAUUCUCCUGGUUUAGCAUGUAGAUAGUUGUUUUGUUCAAGGAUUUCUAAUGCAUAUUUUCUUUGGGUAAUAAAAAUCCCAUGUUGUGUUGUUGUGAAUUCUAAUCCUAAGAAUUUUUUUAAUGUUCCUAGAUCUUUGAUGUUAAAAAAACUGGUUAAAUCUGUCUUAAGUUUGAUUAUUUCUUUUAAGUUAUUUCCUGUGAUUAAUAGAUCAUCUACAUAUGGUAAGAUGAAAAUUUUAUUUUUCCCAUUGAUCUUACUGAAGAGUGCAUAAUCCUCUCUUGUCUGUUUAAAACCUAAUUUGUUUAGUACUUGUUGUAGUUUGUUAAACCACAUUCUAGAUGCCGAUCCAGAGGCUCAAUCGCCGACUCCCCAUGAGCCUAGUGGCAGUCUACCAGAACUGUCCACGAAGCCUAGAGUCAGCGAUUCACCCCUGAAGUCGGCGACUUGGUAGUCCCAGUCGGCGACUCCCAGGUGCUGCCUUGAGUACUUGACGUAGACACUCCUUCCAAAUUCGUGGAACUCUUCGAGGGUCCGGCAUAAGGCGACGGAACCCUAGUCCUUGUCGAAGGGCGUUGCUGGGAGUGGCUGACGUGAUCAGGCAUGUCUCACCAGUACUCCCCCCUGAAGAGAGCAUGGCAAAACACCUGUGUACCGCCAGUAUCCCCCCCAAGCAAGGUGAUCUGCAUCAAGGCGAGUAGCGACAAGAUGGGAUUGAGUCAUUGCGCUCACAGCGACACUAAUGGCUCCGCAUGGUCCAUGCACUAUCAGAUGGACUGAUUCACUAUCAGAAUCUAGUUCCAGGCCAAUGGAACUACAUGUUUAUAGUCCUACUCUGAUCAAGAGCGACUUUUGCUGUGUGGAUUCUGGCCGAAGCGACAAAAUGCAUGGAUUCACUAUUAGAAUCUGAUUCUGGCCGAAGCGACAGAAUGCGUGGAUUCACUAUUAGAAUCUGAUUCUGGCCGAAGCAACAGAAUGCGUGGAUUCGUUAUCCGAAUCGGGUUCUGGCCGAAGCGACAAAUCGCGUGGAUUCAUUAUUAGAAUAUGAUUCUGGCCGAAGCGCGAGAAUGCGUGGAUUCGUUAUCCGAAUCGGGUUCUGGCCGAAGCGACAAAUCGCGUGGAUUCAUUAUUAGAAUCUGAUUCUGGCCGAAGCCCGAGAAUCUAGUUCACUAUCAGAACUGAUGUUUAUAGUCUACCCUGAUCAAGAGCGACUUGGUGUCCGCAACGACGGUUACCCCAUAGGCCGAAGCGCAAGAUGGGUCGAGAUCAUUAAGGUCAAAGCGACAAAAUGAUCUCCAAAUGUUCGAAGGACUAUUGAAGCCAAAGUGACAACAUAAUUCUUGCCGAAGCGACAGAAUCAUGCCUGCAAAACAAAAAACAACCUGCAAAACAACUAUAUCAGUCUAAAGGAUAUAUUUAUUGAUUUACUGACCUUGCCGUGCGGAGCAGCCUCUCAUGCUGCUCCUCCUUAUGCUCAAUAAAUCCUUGAUUGAUCUGUCCGAAGCGACAGAUCUUUCAUGCUAAAAAAUGUGACAGCUUCUGGCCGAAGCGACAGAAGUGCCGACUCACUAUUAGAGUCUGAUUCUGACCAAGGCUACAGAUCCACNNNNNNNNNNNNNNNNNNNNNNNNNNNNNNNNNNNNNNNNNNNNNNNNNNNNNNNNNNNNNNNNNNNNNNNNNNNNNNNNNNNNNNNNNNNNNNNNNNNNNNNNNNNNNNNNNNNNNNNNNNNNNNNNNNNNNNNNNNNNNNNNNNNNNNNNNNNNNNNNNNNNNNNNNNNNNNNNNNNNNNNNNNNNNNNNNNNNNNNNNNNNNNNNNNNNNNNNNNNNNNNNNNNNNNNNNNNNNNNNNNNNNNNNNNNNNNNNNNNNNNNNNNNNNNNNNNNNNNNNNNNNNNNNNNNNNNNNNNNNNNNNNNNNNNNNNNNNNNNNNNNNNNNNNNNNNNNNNNNNNNNNNNNNNUAUUAGAACCUUUCCUGCAAAAAAGAAAACAUCCUGCAAAAUAACUAGAUCAGUUCGAAAACGCAUAUAUUUAUUAUUGAACUUACCGUGUGAUCUACCUUUCGUGAUGUCCCUCCUUUGCUCAAAUUUGUCCUCGGUAAAUCUGGCCGAAGCGACAGAUUUUACCGUGCUCAAUUUCUUUGACGACUUCUGGCCGGAGCGACAGAAGUGUCGGGAGAGCUUGUGAUACUCCCCCCUGAAAUGUGACGACUUCCAUCCUAUAGACAGAAGUGCCGGGAGAGCUUGUGAUACUCCCCCUCGAAAUGUGACGACUUCUAUCUAAAUAGACAGAAGUGCCGGGAGAGCUUGUGAUACUCCCCCUCGAAAUGUGACGACUUCCAUCCUAUAGACAGAAGUGUCGGGAGAGCUUGUGAUACUCCCCCCUGAAAUGUGACGACUUCCAUCCUAUAGACAGAAGUAUCGGGAGAGCUUGUGAUACUCCCCCUCGAAAUGUGACGACUUCCAUCCUAUAGACAGAAGUGUCGGGAGAGUUUGUGACACUCCCCCUCGCGAAUUGUGCCCUUGUGACACAAAAACAUUUGCGACGAGUGUUUUUCGAAGUAUGUGACUGUCGGUGAACUAUCUAUUGUUUUUCCUUUGCUAAUCUUUCAUAUAAAUUACCCUUCAAAUUGUAACUAAGGCCCGAAACUAGAUUCACAAGUCGUAAUUUAGCCACUCUGGACGUAAAUUAGACUCUGCUAACCCUAUUGCUAGCCACUCUGGGCAUAGACUUGGUCGUACGAAUCGUAGCUCAGUCUACGGUUAAAUUUAUGGACAAUUUAUACCUCUAGACUAGCGUCGGAUUACUAGAGAUAGAGUAAACGACGAAUCAGAGAUAUUCGACACUCAAAGGUUGCCUUAAAAUUCGGAACCUUAACGAUGGAGAGAGCUUGUGAUACUCCCUCCUGAAAUAUGAUGACUUCUGGCCGAAGCGACAGAAGUGUCGGGAGAGUUUGUGAUACUCCCCCCUUGAAAUUUGACAACUUCUGGUCGAAGUGACAGAAGUGUCGGGAGAGUUUGUGAUACUCCCCCCUGAAGACUUGCACUUGGGGCAGUUUUAGUGUUAUUUUACCCGGAAUCGGCAACAAGAGUUUGUGAUACUCCUACAGUCGGCGAUACCUAUGGUUUGGGUAACUGUAGAGGGUAUUUUUGUUUUUUACCCCUGCGAGUCGGCGACUCCCUCUGUGAGUCGGCGACUCCUAGUGUAACCGCCGGAUCUUUUUGGGAGAUCCUUGGGAUAUUGGGAAGAUAUACGGGGAUUAUUUGUAAAAUCUCCAAAUAAGGAAAUUUUUCUCACAGUGCUGUGAGUUUUUGCCCGGAGUCGACGACUGCCCUGUGGAGUCGGCGACUUGGCGUGAUUCGGGGGAUUUGGAGAUCGAUUCUUGAUCUCAAAUUUUGUAAAUUUUGGGUUUUCUAGGGGGUUUUUGCAAUUUUCCCAAGGGCUAUAAAUAGUGGAGAGGUUUUCCCCAAACCCUCACAACACUUUUGCCACUCUUAAAUCGCCCACACCUCCAGAUUUUUGAAUCGUCGAUUCUUCAGUUUUAAAACUUCGAAUCGCAGAUUCCCCCAAUGUCUACCCCCGAUUCCCCUUUGUCUCCAUUGAAGGAAAACGAAACGUCAGCUUUCAUAGCUGAGAUGAUUGUGGACAACCUUGAUGAGGUGUUGAACACCGUUGAAUCGCCGAUUCCCUCUCCUGACAGAGAGGUUGAGCCGGCGAUUCCGGUCGUGCCACCUCAUGGAAUGGAGUUGAGUGCCACCGUGCACGAACUACUUGGCGCCUCGCCAGUGUCGGCGACUCCCCUUGUGGAGUCGGCGACUCAGUGCAGGGCCCUUGUAGUCGUACGGGAGCCUCUUGAGCUGGGGGAAAUUCCCGUGGCCUCUGUGUCGGCGACUCCCAUUGUGGAGUUGGCGACUCACGCAGGUCCUGUUAAAGGGAAAUCCUUCAAGCGAAGGGGGCAGGGCUCAGCUGCCAUUGGGUCGGCGACUGCUGGCCAUGCCUCGCCGAUUCCUAUCAUUGAAUCGGCGACUCGUGUGCUGGAGUCGGCGACUCCUAUGCUUAUUGAUGAUUCUUCCGCGCGUCGCACCGUACCAUUGGUCAUGAGCGCGGAAGGCCGAAUCGUGUCGGGACUGAACCCGAACCAAGGUCCUUCUCUGAAGAGAAAGAGAAGGCGCACCACUGGGAAGGGCAAAGUACGCGUGCCCGAAGAGAACGAAGGGGUCCCUCCUCCAUUGAAUAUAAACUUCGAGGAGACCUUGACUGUGGACCGUGGUGCUCAAAAUCCAUGACGUAGAGCGGGCCGGCGCUCUGAGAGAACUCCGCCACCUCCCGUGGAUCUGAACGCUAGUCGAGACCCGGACCUCGACUUGAACACGUACGUUGGAGCUUUGAACCCCUCUGGGUUCGCUCACUGUGAAAUCGCCGCGAAUGGCAUACCAAGGUUGCUUCCUAUCGACCGUUUUGGGGACGGCGAUUAUGAACAAGUGAUGACUCAUGCAACCUUGGAUGGGUCCGAUGGAGUGAAUCCCCCCUCCAAUUUGAAUGCGAGCGACGCUCGAUCACUGCUGUCGGGGAUUCAGAUAUCUGGUCAUCUGCGAUUCUGGAUGUCGCGAUACCAGCCGAUUAAUCUGCCAUCCCCGGGAUUCUAGGCUAUCCCGAGGAUCUACUUCAAGCACUUCUCCGAGCUGCCAAUUCCGGAGAUCAUCAGUGAAGUGCUCUUGAGAUUUGAAGUGUCCCUGUCGCAGCUCCCUGCGGGAUUCUUUGUGAUCCUGCGUGGUUUCAUGAACAUCUGCUGGGGGCUCAAUGUUGCUGCGACGGCGAGCUUGUUUCUGUACUUCUACAAGCUCACCAGAGAGAAGUCUGCAUCCGGUCGCUUUGGAUUCACGCGGCGACACUUUGACAAAAAUAUCGUCGACGAGCUCCCGACGAACUUCGGAUGCAACUGGAGAAAAGAGUUUAUCUUCAUAACUUCUGAAUUUCUUCCCGGGAGUCGGGAAAUGUGGAAUGACCCUAAUCGAGUGCAUAUGAACGCCUCGAUCGAGCUGAGUACGAGGGAUAUUGAGGUCUCGGAUCGGAUAGCGCGUACGCUUACUGCAUACUCUGUGCCGCGCGGUGUUCCCUUUGUCCUUUGCCAAAGGGAAGACUUUACAUUUGAUGAUAUUGAGGAAGCUCGUGAGCCACCCACUGAGAAAGAGCUGGAAGGUGGACAAAAACGAUCGAUCCUAUACCACGACGCUGCACCUCUUUAUAUGCGCAAGAGGUUCCGAGAGGGCAAGCUGAUCAGAUUGCGAAAGAAGAAGACCUCUCGCAGCGAGCCUCGCCGGACCUUUGAGCAUGGGUCGAGCUCUCGCUCUGCACCACCACCUCCCAGGGGCUAUGUGCCUUACACUUCUGCUGGAGUGACACUUCCCGACUUCAUGGCUGAUGCUGAAACUCGAAGGGAAGCGAUGUCACUCCUUUUGGGUCAUCCUGGGACCUGGUGCCGGAGCGAGCUCUUAAAGCAUUUGAAUGCCGCAUGCUAUAUGGCACAUGCUUGUUAUCAUGGAGACUCUAUCCAUGACGUCGAGAAGAUACAAGAAAAAUACAACCAACUCGACGCGAAGUUCAAAGAGAGCGAGAAGGCUCUCGAUAAGCUGAAGAAUAUGAGGUCCAGGAUGGAGAACCUCCGUGACAAUAUUCUGCCGAAGAAGGACAAGACCAUUGAGUCCAAGCAGAAAGAAAUAGAUGAGUAUGUCACGAAGAUCUUGGCGCUUCGCAAAGAUCUGAAAGUUGCUAGUUCUGGCAGCACUAAAGACAUUGAAGAUCUAAAGAGCCAACUAGCUAAUGAGAAAGGGUACGUGGCCUCGCUUGAGGCUACGGUAGCGGAGUUGAAGAAGCAAGCUGCUCAGAGCCAACGAGAAACCACUGAGCUGAAAAGCGAGCUUGCAAGUGCGGAAGAAGAGGUUCUGACUCUGAAAGAUGACAAUGCCGCACUUGCUGGGAGAGCUGCUGGGUUGGAUUUGGAUGUACGUUACCAAUCCGACCAGCUUCAAGAGCUCAUAUUCUUUGGUCCUUCCGUGUAUCCUGCUCUACCCCCCGACUACAUCACGGACAUAAUGGCGUGGGUAGAGCAACAUCCUGAAGAGCUCGAGAAAAAUAAAGAAGCUCUCGACAAGAUGAAGGACGAAGCCGCGCGAGAAUAGAUUUUCUAAGUCCUUUUAUUUUGUAACCUUUUUGUACUCGUUAUCUUUUUGUAAAUCUGAAAAUUUUUAAUGAAAUUAAUCGCUUUUGCUUUUCUAUUCAAUUGUUCAUUUACUUUAUUCUUUUGAAUUGUAACUAAGACCCGAAACUAGAUUCGCGAGUCGUAAUUUAGCCGCUCUGGACGUAAAUUAGACUAACCCUAUCGCUAGCCACUCUAGGCGUAGACUUGGUCGUACGAAUCGUAGCUCAGUCUACGGUUAAAUUCGCGAAAAUAAACUAAACUUUACAACUAAUAGUAAGUCGCAAUAUCGAUUAACAAAUUCGAAAGAUAACAAAUAUGUCGAAAGAUAACUAUCAAUCCUAAGACUCUAGAGUUGUAGUUUUGCUCCAGCCAAGGUGACGGAGCAACUUUUUGUCCCAUACCAAAGAUGUAACAAUGAGAUGGGGUGAAAAUUUAAAAACGUUUACUAAUCUAUUAAGGCCGUAGCGACAUGAUAGAUUUUGAUUUGUGGUGGGUACUUAGAACCUCUUGUGGUUGGGUUCACUUGUCCCUAUCAACUACCUAGGACUCUGCUUUUAGACCCUAAUGCGUGGUUGAACUCUGGCCAUGAUGACAGAGCAACUUUUUGGACCCAUAUCUGGGCUGAAGUGAUCAUAAUGUGUUUAAAGAUAAUUUUGAUCUAUUAAGGCAAUAGCGACAAAAUAGAUUCAUAAAGUGGGGUGCUAGCUAGAGUCGUAGGUAGAUGAUAAAUCUAAAUUUUAUUAAAAGAUGUAAAUUACAACAGUAAGAUUUGUAAUUUUUAAACUAACACAUAGACUAAGAGGCUCUAACGUGCUUAAUACUAAGUGCGAUGUUGCUGUACGUUGUCCGUGUGCCAGAUGCAAGGACUUUUGGGUGACAGCUUAUUCCUAUUCCUCUUAGUUAUGCUAGCCUUUCUGUUGGUCUACCACCAGAUAGCAUAUGGAUGGUUUUCCGUGGGUGAUCUUCCCUAUUGUCACUGUCUGGUGAAGGAGAGCGUGGGCGCUUCCCAUUCACGUCAGACUUGCAAUUGUUUCGAUCCCGGGAUCCUUUGACCAGGCUGUCAAGUUCGCCGUUCGAAAUUAAUUGCUCGACAUAAAGCGAGAAUUCCCUGCAAUAGUCUGUCAGAUGGUCGUGGUCCUUGUGGAAUUCACAGAAUUUUCCACUUUUCUGGCGGCGAUCCUUGGUUGCAGGGUUCAUAGAGCGAGGAGCGGGCAGAUCCGCUCUGUUCUUCAGUUUUUCAAACAGCUCGCCUUUGCUGAUUGUUAGUGGGGUCCGGUUCCUCCAAGGUUGAGGUGGACCCCUUGGCGAUCGUUUGACGGAUAUUUGAUACACUUUGUUAUCAUGUUUAGGCUUCCAAUCCUUUCUGAAGGAAUCAGCCGCAUUGCUAGUGUAUCUGUUCGAGGAGUCAUUGUAGCUCUUUCUCUCGAACUUUUGUUUUUUGAAGCUAGUGUUCUCGAGUUCCACUAGCUUGUUUUCAUUCUGCUCUUCCACCUCAAUGAAUGACUGAGCUCGUUGGAAGAGGUCGGGUAAGGUCUCCACUUUGUGGAGUGUGAGAUUCAGGGCCAGAGGGGAGUAGGGUACCAGCACGUUUGUAUACCCCGCAAUGGCCAAACUUGGGAUUAAGUCGCUCACUUCUGUCAUCAUUGAAGUGAACUUAAACGUGUAAUCCCUUAGAGACAGUUUGUCCUGUCGUAGCGCCAAUAGUGCAUUGACGCUGUGUUUGAUCCUGAUCAUCCCCACAUGCUGGGCGAUGAAUUUGGAUGCGAGGUCUGCAAAGCAGGAAAUUGAUCCGGCUGGCAGACCAGAAAACCAUCGAUAGGCAUUGCCCUUAAGAGUGCCGGGGAAUGCUCGACACAGCAGUGCGUUAUCAGUGGUUUGCGGUUCCAGAACGCUGAGGUAGAGGUUGACGUGAUCUUGUGGAUCACUCGAACCAUCGUACGAUUCUAUUCUGGGUACCCGCCAGGUUGGUGGAAAGGCCACCUUCAAAAGGUCCUCUUGGAAAGGAGCGCUUUUGACUCUUAAGAACUCGAUCGGAUUGCUGAUGACUAGAGUGUCAGCCAGCUUCCGACGGAGGUCCUCUACGAAUCGUGUUGUAAGAGUCCUAUCAGUGCGACUCUUACUGGGUCCAGCUCUUAAUUUUUCUGGCUCUGGACCUUUCUUUUUCUCCGUAGUUGGAGAAUUGUGAGAAGCCGAUUUGGUAAGACAUGCCUUAUUACACCAGUCACUACCCAUCAACGCCUCUCAACAAGGACUAGGGCUCCGUCGCUAUGGCAGGACCCCCGGAGAGCUCCCACGGUGCGGAACACGUUCAUCGUCCAGAUCGCCGAGUUAGCCCGUAAAGUCGCCCGAUUGGACUACCAAGUCGCCGAGUUAAGGCAAGAUCGGCAGUAUGGUAGACUGUACGUCUUGGCCCUAGAAACUCGCCGAGUUAGCCCUUAACUAGGUGACUUCCAUACCUGAAUCGGCGACUUACGACCGUUACUCGGCGACAGCCAACGUCAUAAAUGUUACCAUAUAUGACCAUAGGCGCGAUCUCCGCCGAUGAGUGCGCCCUCCGAGACCCUAUAAAAGGGGUCCCAAGGGGACACUCAAAGGCACGAUUCAAGUUCCACUCUCACACCAGAGCACUACACUACGAAACUCGGCGAGUCUCAUUAGAAUCGCCUAGUUUCCACUUGCAGGUAUUUGACGUAGAGCGUGCGUCGUGGACUCCAAAGCCUCCGGCAUCAACCUCGCACCACUGCGAGCCCUGGUAGCAGAUUCAGUGCUUCAUCAGCUGACGCCGUCUGUGGGACUACCGAACCACCGGUAUCCCGUCGUAAUCGCGAUUUUUUAAAAAUCCGGCUCGAGCUCUCCCAAGAGUUCGCCGAGUUUGUCAAAAAAUCGCCUACUUAGAUCGUCCGAUUCUCGGUUAACGUCCGAUUUAGCCUUAAAUCGCCGACUUAUCCUUGAGAAUCGCCCGAUCCGGAAUAUCGUCUGCUAGCUAAGAGUGUUGUCCACGACCUUGUUCGGAAAAACCCCUAACUCGCCGAGUUAACACUUAACUCGCCGACUUAGCUCUUGUUUUCCCAACAGGCUCAGUCAGGUACCUCUCUGCUUUGGUACUUCCUCGCUUUCGCUUUCAUGGCAAUCAUCGAAAAGCAGAAGCACCCUUACGCCACAAGAAGUAAGGGGAAAAUGCCAGCAACUGAGCUGGAACAGGGUGAGCAAUCCCGACCUAAGGGACCCAUCAAUGCUCAACCUGUGGAAACAAACUCGGUUCCUCCUCCUGUCGAGGAACACAUUAUGCCCAAGGCUCCACCCACCUUGGAAGAAAGGUUGUUCAGUUUCAUGGACAACAUUGAAAGAAGGAUGACUAACCUCGAGCAAGCGAGGAGUCAUAGGACCACCACCAUCCGUGAAAGAACGGACGAAUCUGGGUCCAUCUAUUCUCCAUCUGCGGAGAAAAAACAGAGUUCCCGUCCCAAGACGGGACCCAGUAAGAGUCGCUCCGAGAGGACUCUUACUACUCGGUUCGUAGAGGAUCUUCGGCGGAAGUUGGCCACCGACCCAGCCGUCGGCAACACGCACGAAAUCCUGAGGGUUAAAAGUCCUCCUCUUAGCGAGGACCUUUUAAAGGGAGUUUUCCCACCCAACUGGCGGGUACCAAGAAUCGAGGCAUACGACGGUUCAAGUGAUCCAGAAGAUCACGUGAACCUCUACCUCAACGUCUUGGAACCGUAAACCAUCGAUGAUGGGCUGCUGUGUCGGGCAUUCCCCGGCACUCUCAAAGGCAGCGCUUAUCGAUGGUUCUCUGGUCUGCCAGCUGGCUCAGUCACCAGCUUUGCAGACCUCUCAUCCAAGUUCAUCGCCCAACACGUGGGGAUGAUAAGGAUUAAACAUAGUGCCAACGCACUCCUGGCACUGAGACAGGACAAACUGUCUCUGAGGGACUAUACGGUCAAGUUCACCACAAUGAUGACAGAGGUGAACGACCUAAUCCCGAGUGUGGCCAUAGCGGGAUACAUUAGAGGAUUAGUCCCCUACUCCCCUCUGGCCCAAAAUCUGACUCUCUACAAGGUGAGUUCUCUGCCCGAACUCUUCCAACGCACUCAAUUGUACAUUGAGGUGGAAGAGGAGGACGAGAACAAGCUAGCUGAACUUGGGACUCCUAACUUCCAAAAGCCUAAGUUUGAGAGGAAGGGGUACAGUGGAAACAACAAUUUCCACGACACCUCCAACAAGUAUACCAGUAACAAGGCCGAGACUUCCAAAAAAGAAUGGAAGCCUAGGCAUGAUAACAAGAUAUACCAAGCCUCAACCAGCAAGCCAAAGGGUGUAAUUCCACUAUGGAAAAGAAACACCCCGCUUACUAUCAGAAAAGGCGAGCUGUUUGAGAAGCUAAAGAACCGAGCGGACCUACCUGUCCCUCGUUCUUUAGACCCUGCAGGCAAAGAGGGUUGCAUGCAAUCUGGGAAAUACUGUGAAUUUCAUAAAGACAGCGGCCACCUAACAGAUAACUGCAGGGAGUUCUCGUCUUUCGUCGAACAGUUGAUCUCAAAGGGAGAACUUGGCAACUUCGUCAAGAACUCCCGAGGACGGGACAACUGCAAAUCUGACACAAAGGGGAAGCGUCCGCGCUCUCCUUCGCCAGACACUGACAACAGCGAGAACCGCCAGCGGAAGACCAUCAAUAUGAUAUUUGGUGGUGGAUCCGUUGGCCAGAACAGGGGAUAUUCCCGAAAGGUGUUGAUGUCACAGUCAACACCUCGAGACAACGGAAAGCGGUAACAACUUGGAGCUAUCUUAAAAAGGAUACAUUAAAGAGUAACAAAAAUGAUAUUGGAUGGUUCUAUUCCAUUUCCAUCUUGAGAAAAGACAUAAUUGUGAUACAAUGUUCUUCAGAAGAUCGAGAAUACAACUUGUACGUCCCUGUUCUUUUAUUAUUUGGUUAUUUACAGUCUAUGGUUUCUAGUCCUUGAUAGAUGUUAGAUAUUUAAUAUUAUUUAUCUAAUAUAGGUUUUAUCUAUUUUUGUGGAUUUCUUUGUCGUUUUCUUUACAUGUCGAUUUUUAUUUAUUCUUAUUCUAUUAAUAGGUUAAUAAAUUCUUGUUCUAUUUGAAGAAGAGAGUUUCCCACCUCUUCCUCAGGUACGUACCUUCUCCAAGUUAUAAGGGACCUGAUGGAGGUCAUUGAAUUCUUAGUCUACCCUCCUCCAUUAUAGUCUGGGGCAUAGAUGGGCAGGAAGGGGAAUCAUCUUUAAAUGGAGGUGAUUGCCACCACUAAGUCAGACUUUAUCACAUUCCGGUGAUGGAUAUACACUUCCGAUGUUAUAAAAUCAUAUAUAAAAACCAACAUUGUCUCUGAUACCAAAUGAUAGAAAUUAUCAUACUUUAUUAUCUAUGAUUUUUAUAUCAAGAAUGUAAUGUACUUACAGAUUCAAACGCAACUUGUGUUGAAUCCAUUACAACGGAAGUACAUACUUGAUCUCUGUAUGUUUCUUUUGCCUUUCUUCUGAGAUUUUCUCUUUUUUGGGAUUCCUGAGACUUGUCUCUAUUGGAUGUCUUCUUUUGGACUAGUAGAAUAGACGAUGUUUCUUUAACCCUCAUAUCUUAUUUAUAUAAAAGCAAUGGGUUAUUUACACAUUGAUCCAUAUAUUGAUACUCCCACUUGAUCUACUACACAUAUAUUAACCUUUACUCAACCAUAUAAACAAUCUUUAAUGCAUGCUUUGUUUAUUUUUCUUUUUAAGUCUACACUCGGUCUCAUAAAGACAACAAUAAUAAAUCACAGCGUCACUAUGUCUAAAUGUGCAACAUAGAAACUUCUGUGUAUCACAUUACGUUCGUCUUUAUUAACAUUAGCUUCAUGUGGUAGUGCAGCAAACUGAAUGAUACUUUAUAUAUGUAUCAUUUUAUUGUCAGUCCUCUGUAAUCUAAUCCUUAUGGUGAGCCCAUACUCACACUAGACAUUAUUUAUGAUUCUCAUGAACCUUAAUCAAUUUAUGUAUCAUUUUUCUUCUUUAUUGUGAAAUACAUCACACAAAAAAAAAAUGUAUACCUACUAUAUUAUUUUCUCAUCUUUAUUGUAAAAACCAUCACAAAAGAAAAUUUUAACUUUAUAAUUUCAUUUUUAUUGUGAAAAUCAUCACAAGAGUAAAAUUUAACUUUAUAAUCUCAUCCUUAUUAUGAAAUUCAUCACCGGAGACCUUGUUUAAUUUCUUAAUUCAUUCUCACAAAUUAAUCAGAGUUAAAUAAGAAAUUGACAAAUCAUUUAUUAAAAUACAAUUAUUGAAGUUUUGAUAAUCUAAUAAAUAAAUUAAAUCUGAGUAUAAAUAAUAAUAAUAAAUUAUUACAAGAUUGAAAAUAUAAAAUAUUACAUAUGGAAAUAAAAUUACUUUCACUUAAACGAUGACAUCCCAAGAACCCAACAAACUCAUUGCUAAAAUAUGUGAAUUUAGUAUGUUAGGUUGUCCUUUAGUGAGUGGAUCAGCUAGCAUAUCAUUAGUACUAAUAUGACCGACUAUGAUAUCAUUUUCUCUACCUUUUUCUUUGAUUUUUAGAUACUUCAAUUUUAUAAACUUUGUAGACGUGACACUUUUGUUGUUGUUAAUACUCAACACUGUCGAAAGGUUAUCACAGUAUAUUUGAAUUGGUCUUUCAACAAAAUUGAAAACUUUCAAUUGUUGAAUGAAACUUUUUAACCAACUUGAUUGAAUUGAAACUCCAAAGCAUGAAAUAAAUUCAGCUUCCAUGGUUGAUGUGGCUAUUAACUUUUGUUUUUCACUUCUCCAAGAUACAGCACCACCUGCCAUUUUGAAGAUAUAACCAGAGGUUGACUUCUUUUCAUCUUUACAUCCAGCAAAAUCUGAGUCUAAAUAUCCAACUAGAUUCAAGUUUUCAACUCGAGUAUAUGUUAAUCUAUAAUUUCGAGUACCUUUUAAAUAUCUCAAAACUUUCAUCGCAACAACCCAAUGAUCCAAGCCUGGAUUAACUUGAUAUCUUCCUAAGAGUCCAACCAUAAAUACAAUAUCUGGUCUAGUGCAUACCUGAGCAUACAUUAGACUUCCAUAAAGAAAUGCUUUCAUUUCAUUCUUCUGCAAGUUUGUUAGAGGACAUUGAGCUAAAUUCAAUUUAUCACCUUUUACAAUUGAAGCAACACUUGACUUACAUUCUGAGAGAUUAAACCUUUGUAAUAUACGAUCGAUGUAAGCUGAUUGAACAAGACCUAACAAAUGUCUAGAUCGAUUUCUGUUGAUCUCAAUACCAAGAACAAAAGAUGCUUCACCCAAAUCUUUCAUAUCAAAUUCACUUGAUAAGAAUUUCUUUGUUUCAAAUAAUAUACUUAAAUCGUUGCAAGCAAGUAAUAUAUCAUCAACGUAUAGAACAAGCAAAACAUAUUUGCUCCCUCUGACCUUGUGAUAUAUACAUGGAUCCAUGAGAUUUUCCGAAAAACCAUAUGAAGAAAUGAUUUCAUGGAAUUUAAUAUGUCAUUGUCUUGAUGCUUGUUUAAGUCCAUAUAUAGACUUUUUAAGUCUAUAAACAAGCUUGUCAUUUUCUUCAAAACCUUGUGGUUGCGUCAUAUAUAUUUCUUCAUUGAGAUUCCCAUUAAGAAAAGCGGUUUUAACAUCCAUUUGAUGUAGUUCUAGAUUGUAGUGAGCCACUAAAGCCAUAAUGAUUCUAAAAGAAUUCUUCGAGGAAACUGGUGAAAAUGUUUCAUGAUAUUCAAUUCUCUCUCUUUGAGUGAAUCCUUUGGCAACCAAUCUAGCCUUAAACCGCUAAAUCUUUCCUCUGGAAUCUCAUUUGGUUUUAAAAGCCCAUUUGCAACUCACAACUUUAACACCCUCAGGUAACUGAAUAAGUUCUCAUUCUUUAUUAUGGUACAUAGACUGCAUCUCAUCUUUCAUUUCAUCUUGCCACAAAUCACAUUGUGCACUUGCAACCGCUUGAUCAUAUGAGAUAGGGUCAACUGUACUACUACAACCAAUGUCAUAGUCGUAUUCUCCUAAAUAAACUUCAUAAUCAUUAGGGAUAGCUGAUCUUCUUUCUCGUGUAGACCUCCUUGGUUCAAUAACUAGUGGAUCUGCCGGUGUAAUAAUUGGUUCAUCAACUUGAGCAAUAACUAGUGUGUCAACGGAUGUCACUGAAGAUGUGGUUGGUGUAAUCGAAAAUAAGGGUAUAACUACUGUUGAUGGUUGAUGGUCCAAUGAAUUAGAAACCUCUGAAGUAUUAACAUCUGCUACAUCAUUUUUUAAGAAUUUUGCUGUUCGAGAAUCUACAAUUAUUGUUCCACCAUGAGGUCUAUAAAAACGAUAUCCCUUAGAAUGAUUCGGAUAUCCCACAAAAUAGCAUGUCACUGUUCUUGAAUAUAACUUGUUUUAUGUUGGAUUGUAUAAUUUCACCCCUACAGGAUAACCCCAAAUCUUCAAAUGAUUUAAACUAGGUUUUCUACCUGUCCAAAGUUCAAAAGGUGUAACUAGUACUGACUUACUUGGGACUCGAUUCAAAAUAUACAAUGCUGCUUGUAUUGCUUCACCCCACAAGAAUGUUGGUAAAUUUGCUCUACUAGUCAUGUUUCUCACCAUAUCCAUUAGGGUACGAUUUCUUCUUUCUGCCGCUCCAUUCUGCUCAGGAGUUCCUGACAUAGUGUAUUGCCCAAUUAUUCCAUAUUCUUCCAAAUAUUGUGCAAAAGGACCUUUAAGUUGUCCAACAUCUCCAUGUUUACCGUAAUAUUCUCCACCUCUAUCUAUCUGAUCUAACAAUCUUUAUAGAUUUUUCCAAUUGUUUCUCAACUUCUGUUUUGAAUACUUUAAAUUUCUCUAAAGAUUCAUAUUUUUCUUUGAUAAGAAACAAAUGGCCAUAUUUAGAAAAAUCAUCUAUAAAUGUUAUAAAAUAUAAGCAUCCACACAAAGUUUUAUGAUAUGGUCCACUAAUAUCCGUAUAAAUAAUCUCCAAAAGACUAGUGUUACGAGUAGCAGUCUUUUUCCCUUUCUUGGUCAUUUUCCUCUUAAGACAAUCAAUACAUUCUGCAUGGUCAUUAUCUAAAGAAGGAAGAAUGGUCGAUUUAACCAAUCUUUUAAUUCUAUCUUGUGAAAUAUGAUCUAACCUUUUAUGCCAUAAUAUAUAUGAUUUUUCUUUAUUUAAGGGUCUUUUGGAAACUGUAUUUUCCACAUUAUAAGCUAUAUAGAUCUUCAUAGAAUCAAGACAUAAUCUGUAUAGGUCAUAAGACAAAACACAAUUACCCAUAAUCUUUGAGUUAAGAAACAUUGAAACUGUAUUGUUCUUAAAUUCAAAAGAAAAACCAUGUUUGCUUAAUUUACUAACAGAAAUUAGAUUCCGUCUAAACGACGGAACAUACAAAGUGUCUUUCAAUGUUAAACCAAAUCCUAAAUCUAGAUUUAAAAUAACAUCGCCCACAAAUUCUACAUCAGUUUGUCCAUCAUUUCCUACGAACAAUCUUGAUUCAUCCUGAUUUGGCUUCCUUCUAUUUGUGAAUCCCUGUAUGGUGAAUGCAACAUGAUUAGUUGCUCCACUAUCCAACCACCAAGAACUAGAUGAAGAUUCUAUUAAAUUAGAUUCAUAAACUAAUGUCAAAGAAUCAAUACCUUUUUGUUCCUGUUUUAUGAGCCAAGAUUUAUACUUUAAGCAAUUCUUCUUUAUGUGUCCCGGUUUCUUACAGAAGAAACAUCCAUUAAUUGCUUUCUUGAGGGAGUUCUUGUUAGGACCAAAUUUGUCAGAUAAGUUGGUAUCCUUAGAAUCUUUAUUUUUCACAAACUUUUUGAACUUAAAUCCUUUCUUAUUUGAACUAUACAUUGUUAUCGAAAAUUUUUCGCCUUUUAUUUUAUCCCCCAUUUCUCCAAAUAAUUAUUUCUUUUAAUUCGAGCCCAGGCUCGCCGGUUCGAGCCCGGGCCCGAGCCUGACAAUUCUUAAAAUGAGCCGAGCCUGAGCCUGGCUCUAUAAGCAAAAGCUCGACUUGUUUGACACCUUAAUCUCAGAUAAAUAUUCCGAGAAUAUUUUGCCACUUAUCUUCAAAUUCUGAAGUUUUUUGGCGUAGACUCAUCACAUGCGAUCGAGAAUUAGAUGCAAAUUGCAUUUGAAAUGUUUCUCAUACCUCAUGUGUCGUAGCACAAUCAGAGACUUCCGACAGUACCGAGAGUGAAAUUGAUGAAAAUAGCCAUCCUAAAAUCAAUUGAUCUUGCUUGAUGGCAAGAGAGUUGUCCAAUUUUUCCCUACCGGCCAGAUAGUCCAUCAGCUCAUGACCUCGGAUAUUAGCCCCAAAUUGGGCUCUCCACGCGAAGUAGUUGCUGCGGUCUAGGGCUACAGUCUUGAAGUUCUUGGCGGUCACCUUUCCUGGUGCAUCGUUGCCAUAGAGCUUCUUUGCAGCCAGCGAAAUCCCUUUGUCAGCUUCGUCAAUCGACAUUGCGUAUCGGAAAAAAAUUGUGAUCGUCAACGAUUUUGGAGCGAUUCCGAUGAUCAGAGAUGUGCGGCUUCCCAAGAUCAGCUAAGCGAAAGAUACCAUAACAGUGAAUUGAAAUAUAUGAAUGGGGAAAGCCAAACUCGAUCCUUUUCAUAUUCAAUAGUAAGAUCUAUUUAUACAAUUUGUUACUCUAAUAUCCUAUUUGUUUGUUCUUUUGUAUUAUCGAUAUUUAUUGUCUAUUUUUUAUAAUGUUCUUGUCUAUUUUUAUAUUUACAGUCUAUGGUUUUUAGUCCUUGAUACUUGAUAGAUAUUUGAUAUCUAUUAUAUAUUUUAUCUAUUUUUGUGGUUUCUUUGUCGUUUUCUUUAUUGAUUUUUAUUCAUUCUUGUUCUAUUAAUAGGUUACCAAAUUCUUGUUCUAUUUGAAGAAGAGAGUUUCCCAUCUCUUGCUCGGGUACCUUCUCCAAGUUAUAAGGAACCAGAUGGAGGCCAUUGAAUUGUUAGUCUACCUUCCUCCAUUGGAGUCUGAGGCAUAGAUGGACCGAAAGUGGAAUCAUCUAGCUUUAGAUGGGGGAGGAGAGCACGACUUGUGCUAGAACUUCUUCAAGAAAUUUGACAAAUUUACGCUUCUCAACCUUACUCAUGGCUCUCGCGUCUUGAUGUUACAAGAGUUGCUCGUGGAGGGUACGUAAGGCUAUCCCCAACUGAAUCUUUGACUGGGGGAAAGAUGAUUCCGUCAGGGAAUUUGAUGUAAAAAUUCGAAAAACAAACAUAUAACAUUAUUAUUAGAGGAAACGUUUCAAAUAAAAUAUUUAAAAUAAUAUAUAUUUUGUGAAAUAUUAAUUUAGAACGUUCAUUUAUUUUAAAUUAAAUUAAACACAUCUUAAGGUAGAUCAUAUCAUUUAAUUAGUGGAAUGUUUUAGAGAUUAAUUUUAUACCAUUUAAAUGAAAUAAAAGAGUACUUAUACUAUUACAACAUUUGUAAUUAAUUAAUUAAUUAAUUCUAAAGGAUUUUUAAUAUAAAAAUUCUAAUUGGAGCAGCGGUCUUCCGCUUCUCUCUCCGGCUCGGACCCGGUUCAUCACCGUUGGGUGAUUUUUGUUUACCGUGGUCUUCCCCCAAUUAAGUUAGGAUUUAGGUCGUCUUCUUCAACAACAACUCUUCUAAUCGUCGUGCUAUCUUCCUGGAUAGUGGAGCAGUCUAUCAGCAUCAUAUCAUCGUCGGCUUCUUCAGAUUCGGCAUUGUCUUCAAUGUUGAUAGGAGGGAAAAGACGCAACACAUCUUCAUGAAAUUCCCAAGACGAGUCCUCCGGUAUCGCUCCAUUCCAAGCGACCAGCCAUUGAUUUCUCUGUCUCGAUCUCACCCUGAAAAAUGGUACGUUUAUUAGAAUAAAUAACUUCUACUGUUUUUUUAGUUGAGUUUAAUAUUCUCAAAUACAAUUAAGUUUAUACAAUGAGUUAGUUGUUAGAGGUUAAUUAGUUUUAGAUACUCUUUCUUAUAAAUUCUUUUGUAAGACUGUAUUCUUGGUUAAUGAAUUAAGUUCUUUCUUUUGAGAUUAUUGUUGAAUUGAGCUUGAAACAAGCACCAAAAUCUUGGUACUCAAGACUGAGUGCAUUCCUAAUAUUAAAUGAAUUCACUAACAGUCUGGCAGAUACAUUAUUGUUUCAAAAAAAAGAUAAUAUUUUAAUUUGAGUAAUUGUGUAUAUAUAUAGAUGACAUUAUAAUUUCAAGAAACAACAACAUUGAAAUUGAAGUUUUUAUUAAAAAUCUUUGUACUGAAUUUAGAUGUAGAGACCUAGGACUUUUGAAAUAUUUCUUUAGUAUAGAAAUUAGAUACAAUUUUGAUGGGUCACUUAACAUGACUCAACCUAGAACUUUUGGACUGGUCCAUGUUCCGAUCUUUAAAUAUAAAAAGGGUUUUGUAAAUUUGAUUUUGGUUGUAAACACGAAUCAUCUUGUAGGGUUUCAGCGGGAAAUGAGGGUUUCACUGGAGGCAAGGGUUUGCUGGAGGCAAUCGUUCGGGUAUGUUUCUAGUCUUCUUCUUUUGUGCAUGUCGCUCUAUUCUUCUUGUGUAUGUUGUCUUUGGUUGGGUAUCCUUAUUCAUUUGUAUUCUUAAUGGGUUUUGUAGUGGGUGUUCUGUCUGUUAAUGUGUUUGCAUGUCAGUGUUUUCUUUCAUGGUGUUUGUUUUCCUUCAUCCUUUGUGUUUGUUUUCCUCUAUCAGUCUGUUCCGUGUAAGUUUUCCAUAUUCAGUUUCUUUUUGAGAUGAUUGAAUAGAUAUCCUGUAACAUCUUUUGUGAAGAUGUCUUCCACGUUUUCUUUGGUGUUUACCCUUUCUAUUUCAAUCUCUUUUUGCAAAGCUUUGUCUCUGAUCGUGUGUGUAUCGAUUUCUAUGUGUUUUGUUCUUUGAUGUAAGACUGGGUUUGUUGCGAUUGCAGUUGCAGAGGAACUAUUUGUAUAGAGUUUUGGAGUUACUAUAUUUACAUGCAUUUCCUUUAAUAGUUGUUUUAGCCAUGUGAUUUCACAAGUUGUGUGUGCUAAGGGUCGGUACUCUUCCUCUGCUGACGAUCUUGCCACUGUAUGUUGUUUUUUGGUUUGCCAUGAAACUAGGUUAUCAUUCAAGAAGAUGGCAAAUCCUGAUGUGGAUCGUCUGGUUGUGGGGCAAGAGGCCCAGUCAGAGUCUGAAAAUACUUUAAUCCUUCAGGUUCUUGUGCCUGAUGAGAAGAAAAGUCCACUUCCUGGUGAGUUUUUAAUGUAUCUUAAUAUUUUGUUCACCUUAGUAGAGUCUUCAUUUGUUGGUUCUGACAUGUGUUGGCUUAGUUGGUUUACUACAUAUGUUAUAUCGGGUUUGGUUACAGUUAGGUAGACAAGUUUUCCAACUAUGCAUCUGUACUCAGUAGGAUCAUCAAGUAAUUUAAUUUCCUUGUUCUGUUUGUUUGGCGAUCUUGAUGGUGUAUAGAGUGGGUAUUCUCCUGGUUUAGCAUGUAGAUAGUUGUUUUGUUCAAGGAUUUCUAAUUCAUAUUUUCUUUGGCUAAUAAAAAUCCCAUGUUGUGUUGUUGUGAAUUCUAAUCCUAAGAAUUUUUUUAAUGUUCCUAGAUCUUUGAUGUUAAAAAAACUGGUUAAAUCUGUCUUAAGUUUGAUUAUUUCUUUUAAGUUAUUUCCUGUGAUUAAUAGAUCAUCUACAUAUGGUAGGAUGAAAAUUUUAUUUUUCCCAUUGAUCUUACCGAAGAGAGCAUAAUCCUCUCUUGUCUGUUUAAAACCUAAUUUGUUUAGUACUUGUUGUAGUUUGUUAAACCACAUUCUAGAUAUUUGUUUUAAGCUAUAUAGAGGUUUUGUUAAUUUGCAUGCUAGUUUGUGGUUAUCUGUUGGUUCUUUGUUGAUCCUUAGACCUUGGAGAAUGUCCAUAUGUAGACUUCUUCAUUUAAGUCUCCAUGUAAGAAGGUGGUGAGACAUGCCUGAUUACGGCAGUCACUCCCAGCAACGCCUUUCAACAAGGACUAGAGUUCCGUCGCUUUACCCCCGGAAGGCUCCCACGGUGCGGAACAAGUUCAUCGUCAAAUCGCGAGUUAACCCAUAAAUCGCAAUUGGACUACCAAAUCGCCGAUUUUAGGGACAAAUCGUUGAGUUAGGUCCCAGAUAGGCAGUAUGGUAGACUGCAUAUCUCGCCCCUUGAAACUCGACUAGUUUACCCUAAUAGGCAAUUUUCAUACCUGAAUCGUCGAUUUACGACCGUUACUCGCCGCCAGCCAACGCCAUAAAUGCACCCAUAUAUGGCAAUAGGCGCGAUGUCCGCCUUUGAUCGCGCCCUCCGAGACCAUAUAAAAAGGGUCCCAAGGGGACACUCAAAGGCACAACACAAGUUCCACUCUCACCAGAGCACCACUAAGAGAAUCGCCGAUUCCCACACCAGAAUCGCCGAUUCUCUCCUUUCAGGUAUUUGACGUAGAGCGUGUGUCGUGGACUCCAGAGCCUCCGCGAGCCCUGGUAGCAGAUUCUGUGCUUCAUCAAUCCUUCAGUGGAUGCUAGGGAGAUAAGUGUUCUUAGUGUGGUCAUUCUAGAAACUGGUGCAAAAGUUUAUGUGCAGUCUAUCCCCUCUGUUUAGUUAUAGCCCUUGGCAACCAAUCUAGCUUUGAAUUUGUCUAGGCUUCCAUCAGCCUUAAGUUUUGUCUUAAAAACCCAUUUGCAAUCUAUGAUUUUUGUCUCUCUUGGUACUUCAGUGAUUCUCCAAGUGUUGUUUUGUUUUAGUGCAUUUAUUUCAUUGCUUCUUGCCAGUGUGAUACUUGGCUUGCUUUUUGUAAUUUUUAGGUUCUAUGUGUUCUGAAAUUUUAAUUAGAAAUGCUCUGUGUUUUUCCGAAAAUUUGUUGUAGUUGAUGUGGUUGCUUAUUGGAUAUUUUGUUGUGUUGUAACAAACGUAGUCAUCCAAUUUUGUGGGUCUCUUUCUCUCUCUUGUGGGUCUUUCAGGCUUUUCUCUCCUAUUGUUUCAUCUUCUACAUGGUUGUUUGAGUUUUCAGAGUUUUGGUUGUCAUGAUUUUGUUGAAUUGCUUGGUCUUGGAUUUGUGUUCUCAUUGUUGAACUUGAUUUCAGUAUCUAUAAGGAGGAUCCCAUUUUCCUUUUCUUCUAUGUUUUUGAAAGGGAAGAUAUUUUCAUGGAAUAUUACAUCUCGGUUGAUAAUUAUUUCAUUGUUUUUAAUAUCGAGAAUCUUGUAUCCUUUUGUUAAUGUAGAAUACCCUAGAAAUACCCCUUUUGUGGCUCUGGCCUCAAAUUUAUUUGUCGGUUUAUUGAUUUUUGAGUAGCAAAGACAUCCAAAUUUUUUGAGACUUUCAUAUGAUGGUUCUUUUUGGAAGAGUCUGAAAUAAGGGGUUUCAUUAUUGAUGGUUGGUGAGAACAUUCUAUUUAUGAGAUAGCAAGCAGUUUGGAUGCAUUCUCCCCAGUAAGUUGUUGGAACUUCAGAUUGGAAUAUUUAGCAUCUAGUUAUGUCUAGGAUGUGUUUGUGUUUUCUUUCUACUAUUGAGUUUUGUUAUGGGGUGUAGAGGCAAGUGAGUUGGUGUUUUAUUCCAAAGCCCUAUAGAAAGGUUUGGAGGUUUACGUUAAGGAAUUCAGUACCAUUAUCGGUUCUGAUUGUUUUCACAGAAGUGUCAAAUUGGUUGAUUGCUUUUGUGAUGAAAUGUUUUAGUUUUCCUGGUGUUUCCCCUUUAUUGUGUAAUAGUAUUAUCCAGGUGGCUCUACUAAAGUCAUCCACUAUGGUGAUGAAGUAGUGGUGACCAUUGUAUGUUGGUGUUCUGCAUCUUCCCCACAAGUCAAUAUGUAGUAAUUCAAAAAAAUUCGUAGUUUUGGAAGUACUUGUAGAAAAUGAUAAUCUAAUAAAUUUUGCAGUUGGACAUUCAUUACAUAAAAUAUUUUUAAACAUAGGAAUAGAUGGAUUGUUUUUCCUAAUUAGAUUGUAUCUCAAAAUUAAAGAAUGUCCUAGCCUUCUAUGCCACAGCUCUGCAUUUUUUUGAGCUGAAUUUACCCAUACUUGUCCUUCUUUCGUUUCUUCAGAUGAUAGGAUGUAGAGUCCUUUCCUUUUAACCAUAGAAAUCGAAUUCAUCUUCGAAUCCUGUAUUAGACAGUGGUUAUUAUAGAAAACGAAAAAGCAGUUAAUUGAAUUUGUCAGCUUUGUGACAGAGAUCAAAUUAACAUUGAAAUUUGAAAUUUUUAACAUUGGAUCUAGUGUUAAUUUUUCAUUCAGGGUGAAUGUUCCAACCUCGUGCAUAAUUGCUAUGUGAGAGUUUGGCAUAUGGACCUUAAUAGGAUGGUUAAGUAUCCUUAUGUUGGAUAGCUGGAUUACCGGACCACACAUGUGGUAUGUGGCUCCACUAUCUAUCACCCAUUCAUUUUGUCUAUUCACUGUUGAAAUGAAGCAGUAAGAUUGUGUACCUGAUUUUUCUAUGUCAUGGGUUGUAGAUCUUCCCACGUUUGCAGAGUGUUUAGGUUUGUUUUGUCAUUGUAGCAUGGACAUGAGUUGCUCAAUGGUGUAGCUUGGUUGUCCUUCUGAAUAAUUGACUCUAUUUCUUGUGGGGUUUCAUGGUGAUCUUCUUGGUUGUAGUUAUCUUGGUAAUUGUAGUCUUCCCAGUUUUGUUGUUCUUGUGGCUCUUCUGAAUCCUCAGUGUAUGUGUUGUUUGCCCUGUAGUUUGCCUAUUGUAAUUCCUGCCAUACUGGUUUUUGUUUUCCCUUCUUGGGUAGCUAUUUGUUGGAUUGUAGGGUCUGUUAGGUCUCCUGAAAUUUUGUGAGUUAUUUCCAUUGUUGUAUGUUUGCCUUUCAGGGUAUCCAUGUACUUGGUAGCAAUUGUCAACAGUGUGCCCUGAUCUUUUGCAAUGUGUACAGAAGGGCCUUUCUCUUAUCUCUGGUUUUGAUGGUUUGUAAGGGUCAUUUGCCAGUAAGGUUGUUGUUACCUCAGUUGUGGGUACUGUGUGAUUUCUUUGCUGUUAUUCUUGUUUGAUUAUAGGAUAUAAUUCACCAAGUUUUGGGGUCGAUUUCUGAGCCAUUAGGACACCUCUAAUUGUUGUGUAGGUUUCAUUCAGUCCCAUUAAGAAUUUUACUGAUCUUGCAAAUUCAUCAGGGGGGUUAAUGUCUUCUUUGUUGGUGUCAUAUGUGCUCUAGAUGAGUUUAGUCAGUUUGGUGUAGUAUGUGCAUACUGAGUCUUGUCCUUGGUAGAGUGUGUAUGUUUGUACUAGGACAUCAUAAAGCAUUGCACCAUUUGAUUGGUUGUAUCUGAUUGCCAAUUCAUCCCAUAAUAUCCAUGGUUUGCUAGCUGUGAGAAAAGAUGGUUGUAGCUCUGGUGUGAUGGAGCUUAGUAAUCAAGAAUGUAUCAUAGUGGUGCAGGCCUUCCAUUUUCUAUGUUCCUUUGAAUAUGUUUCUUGGUCUGGUUCUGGUAUGACUCCAAGUAGGAACCCUAAUUUUGAUCUACCUUCUACUGCCAUUUCAAAAUGCUUUUUCCAUACUGGAUAGUUAUUACCAUCCAGUUUAAUAGUUACCAUAAAAUGUGAAGAGAAUUCUGAACUGUAGAUGUCAUCCUCUUUUGUUUUUGUGCUUUGUAUGUUUUGAUCAUCAUAUUCAGACAUUUUCUGCAGAUUCAUAAUUAGCUAAUUACGUGGAGUUUGUAGAAGGCGAAAAUUCUAAGUAGCAAAUGUGAAUGUGGAAGUUAAUACUAAGGAGUGUGUUGACCACUUGAUGGUCGAGGAAGAUGUUGAUCCUCCUCCUGAUCCUACUGAAGAUGAGGCUACAAUGAUUCGUAGGGCUACUAGAAAGAGGAACAGGGAGGAAGGAGAAGUGUUCCACGAUCCUUUCACAGUGUGGAUGGAUGACUGCUGGAGGAAAGGUAUUUCCCCUGACCUUAAUAAUGCACCUAGGUAUCGUGAUUAUAAAUGGGAAAAUGAUGAUGAGCUUCCACCUUGAGAUGGUCGUUUUGAUGAAAUGUUUAAUUCAGAUACAGAAGUUAAUGGAGGUAUCUAUGGAUUUAGUGAAGAUUCUGAGGUUGAUCGUCUCUAUGAUCGUGAGAUGUUGGGAGUGAGUGUGGACAUUGUAAUUGUUAUAAGUGAUGAUGAUGAUGAUGCUGAGGAUAGUGAUGCUUGGUAAUCCUGAUUAUAUGGAGUUGAUCUUCGACACUUGAAAGAACUGAAGAAAGAGAAUAAGGGUAAUGUAGAGCCAGACUAUGAGAAGUGGCUCAAGAUGAUACUUAAGAAGAAAUCGAAGUGAGGAUUUUCCUCAUCUUUUUGAAGUAAAGAAAAAAAACUUUAUAUAUUUUGUUUUCUCUUUGAGAAUAAAUACUUUCCCUUUUUUUUAUUAACCUAUUACUUGGGUUUGUUUUACUAUGGGGAUCUCAAUCGCUCUGAUACCAUGUUAAGUUUUAAUGUGUAUGAAAUAUAAUCCAAGUAUGGUUUAAUGAUUAAUCCAGAGUAAAGCAAAAUAGUGUUGAUGCAGCGGAUAAUAUUGAUUGUUUAAUUUAUCUAAUGAGUAUGAUCAAGAUGUGUUGCAGGUAGAUAAUGUUUGACAGGGAUGAUAUAUAUAUGAUUUGUCCAAGUAGAAGCGGAGAUAUGUGUAUGCAAUAGAUAUCAGGUAUGAUAUAUAUAUGAAAUGUAAGCAGAUGAUUUAGCAAUACUGAGAUCGUUUGGAGAGCGAGGAGAUGACGAUGUAGGAGAGUCGAUGAUUGAGUGUAGAGCAGAUCGGAGUGAAGUUGAUGAUGACUUUGAUCCACAGAUGAUGAUUCCCAAAGGGAGUAUGAUUUUGAAACUUAGUAUCACAAACUGUAAAACAAUGUUAGGUUUGAGUUUGAUCUAUAUAGAUGGUUUAAAUGUUUGAUUCCAGCUUACAACGGUCAUAAGCUCAAGGUUCAACUGGCGCUUGUUGUCCUGUUGCUGAAGGCAAAGGUGACAUCAAGUGAUGGUUGGACCUUCCUAAGAUUUCUAUCAUAUUAAAGGUUUAGGUAUUAAAUUGAUCAUGUAAGGGUUUAGAUUGUAAAUUGGUUAAUGAGGGUUCAUAUUGUAAAUGUUGUAAUUAUGGAUUUAUGUAAUAAUUUUAUAGAAACCCAGUUAUCAAAAAUAUGUCAAAACAUAUUGAGAGUGACAUCCAUUACAUUAGAGAAUUAAUUACAAAUAGUUUAAUAGUAGGAAAAUCUCCAUCCCUGUUCCGGACUGAAAUCCCCGUCCAUUUCCCUGCCCCGGAUAAUAUUCGUACCGUGGUAAAUUAUAUUUAUACCUUAUAUAAUAUCUUAUAUAGUAUAAUUUAUAUAAAUAACCCUAUAUAAUAUAUUAAAUGCAUAGGUUUAUAUUCAAAAUGUAUCCAUAAAAAAUUUAUAUUUAACCCUAAAUCCCUAAAAAUUUAAUUUUUAACUAUUUGGAUGAAUUGUGAUUUAGAGAUAAUAAAUAUAAAUUUAGAAACUUCUUUUUUAAUUAAUGAAUCCUCGAUUAAUUUUUCACGAUAUUUUUCUUUAAAUUUUUUUUCAUAUCGAUUUUUAAUUAUAUACUAACACCACAAUUUUAGAUUUAAUUUUUAGAAUUAUUCUUUUUUUAUUCUUUAGCUGGUUAGUUGCAAUUUUCAGUUUGAAAAUAACCAUUUUAGAAUAGAAAUGAGCAUUUCUCUCUCUCUCACCCAUUUUUUUCUUUCAAAACAACUAUAUAAUCAUCGAUAGAUAUCAAUCAAUCUAUUGAAAGGAGAAAGAAGACGUGAGAUCUCGAUAGUUCUUUCGAAUUUUGAUUUUUCUUAGGUCAAGAAUGGUUCACGUAACCGAGAUGGAGGAAAACAAUUUAAGUGAGGUUGAUUGCUUUUCUUCUCAAAAUAAUUCGACCCAAGCAACCAAUUUUUUUCCACAGGUUUAUUUAUCAUUGUUUUAGAUUCUAAACAUUACAUUUGUUCUAUUUCCUUCUUAUUCUUUUUUCUUUUGUAUAUGACAAUUCUCUCAUUUCAUUUUAUAUUUUUAUUUAUCAGGGAUCAUCAACUCCAUUGUCUCAAAAUAAUUCGACCCAAAUAAUGAAUUCUUCUGGGCAGGUUUAUUUAUCAUUGUUUUAGAUUCUAAACAUUACAUUUAUUCUAUUUCCUUCUUAUUCUUUUUUUCUUUUGUAUAUGACAAUUCUCUCAUUUGAUUUUAUAUUUGUAUUUAUCAGAGAUCAUUAAGACCCCAAAAUAUACCUAGUAUUGAGCGUAACCGAAAUUCCCAUAGCCAUAGGCGUCGUUCCACACAAAAUCAUCAAUCUCGAAGACGUCAGCAAGUUGAUUGGGUUUCUUCAUUAAAGCAGUCGAUUGUUAUUCCUCCUUACCCUAUAAACCAAGCUAUUUAUCCUCCAUUUAAUGUUGUUCCUGCUCCCCUUCCGAUGGAAAUGAAUCAAUAUCCUUACCCAACAAAUUUUACUACUAGACAACCAUUCGUGAUGAAUUCUUGGCACGAUUGCAGAUAUCUACCAUUUCCUCGUCAUCAACCUUUUGGGUUUAAUCCUCUCAGUAACUUUUACAGACCACAAGAGCAUAACUCUAGUUGGACGUCAAUAAAUCCACAGAUACCUGGUAGACAUUUCAAUCAGGCACACCAACCUUAUCCAUUUUAUCCCUCAUGUAAUCCAUUCCAAAUGCGAAUUAUGAAUCAAAGACCUUAUUUUAUGAAUAUGCAAGCACCGGCAUUUAUACCAACUCAUGGAGUGUAUGGAAAUGAUUACAACCAGGGUACCACCCACUUCUUCUGAUUAUUUCUACCAAUUGCUAAUUUUAUCAUUCAUCAUUCAUAUAUAUUUAGGUAAUGCAGUUCAUUAUUCUGCACCAUUUGAAUCGUCGAAUCUUAAUGAUCUUCAAGAGUUGAAGACGAGUAUACGUGUUCAAAUUGAAUAUUACUUUGGGUAUAUAUCAUUUCAUAUAUGAGAUUUUUUUUUUUAAGUAUAUAUGUUUUUGUAACGUUUUCAUUGUAUUUUUAUAGAGAUACCAACUAUCCAACUGAUGAUCAUCUACACAAAAAAAUGGAUAAAGAAGGGUGGGUGGACAUAUCUGAAAUCGCACAAUUUAGAAUGGUGUGUUCAAAAUAUUUAUCGUUCUAGGAAGUUACAUAUUCUCAAUAUUUCCAACUAACAACUAUAUAUGCUUCAAUUGUGAUGUUACAGAUAAGAAGAAAAAAUGUUGAUUUAUCCCUUAUUUUAGAAUCUUUGAAAUCGUCAAAAAUGAUCGAAAUAAAGGUAAUUAUAAUACAUGUAAAAAUUAAAUUUCACUAUGACUAAUUAAGUGCUUGAUACAAUUUUAUUUAUCGAUCAUAAAGAGUAUAAUUUUUUAAAUGGUGUUGUAUAUUUAACAUUUAUGUUGUUUUUUGUUUAUAGGGAAAUAAGAUAAGAAAAAUCAUUCAUGAAAAAAUGCUUCCAUUACCUGAAACGACGACCGAUACAAGUCAAUGAUAAAGAGCUUAUCGGCCUCAAGAAGUUUUAACUUUAUUUUUAAUUUGAACCUUAUUAUCUGAUUUUUACAACAUUUAGUUAGCCAUUAAUAAUUGGUUAAGUGACAUUUCCACAGUUUGAUUUUUGGCUACAUUUCGUUAGCCAUUUUUUGUUUGAUUGUCAUUUCGUCAUUUUUAUGUUCGACCAGAUUUCGUUAACCAUUUUUUAGUUGUGUGUCUUUUUGCUGUUUGAUUUUUGGCUAUAUUUUGCUAGCCAUGUUUGAGUGAGCCUCAUUUUGGCUGUUUGUACUUUAUAGACUUCAUUUUAACAUUCUAAAUUGAAGAAUUGAAUUUUUUUUGUUAAUUAAUUUGAGGUUAUCAACUUUGAUACUUUUCUUUUAUCCAUGUAUUUUGGUUAAUAGCAAGAACCUAGUGAAGCUCAAAUAAAAAUUGCAAACGAUCAAGUGAAUGGAAAUAACAAAAUAAAUAAAUGUCAAAUACCACAAGAAAUACCAUAAGAACUGCAAAGCAAGGCAUAUUUGAAGGUGUUUCGAUCUGCAUCUUUCCUGUGACGGAAAGGAUAUACAAUGUGAGAAUUGAUUGAAACGCAACUUGUGUUGAAAUAUACUUACAGAUUCAAACGCAACUUGUGUUGAAUCCAUUACAACGGAAGUACAGAUAGACGAUAUCUAUUUGUUUGUUCUUUUGUAUUAUCGAUAUUUAUUGUCUAUUUUUUAUAAUGUUCUUGUCUAUUUUUAUAUUUACAGUCUAUGGUUUUUAGUCCUUGAUACUUGAUAGAUAUUUGAUAUCUAUUAUAUAUUUUAUCUAUUUUUGUGGUUUCUUUGUCGUUUUCUUUAUUGAUUUUUAUUCAUUCUUGUUCUAUUAAUAGGUUACCAAAUUCUUGUUCUAUUUGAAGAAGAGAGUUUCCCAUCUCUUACUCGGGUACCUUCUCCAAGUUAUAAGGAACCAGAUGGUGGCCAUUGAAUUGUUAGUCUACCUUCCUCCAUUGGAAUCUGAGGCAUAGAUGGACCGAAAGGGGAAUCAUCUAGCUUUAGAAGGGGGAGGAGAGCACGACUUGUGCUAGAAUUCUUCAAGAAAUUUGACAAAUUUACGCUUCUCAACCUUACUCAUGGCUCUCGCGUCUUGAUGUUUCAAGAGUUGCUCGUGGAGGGUACGUAAGGCUAUCCCCAACUGAAUCUUUGACUGGGGGAGAGAUGAUUCCGUCAGGGAAUUAAUGUAAAAAUUCGAAAAACAAACAGAUAACAUUAUUAUUAGAGGAAACGUUUCAAAUAAAAUAUUUAAAAUGAUAUAUUUUGUGAAAUAUUAAUUUAGAACGUUUAUUUAUUUUAAAUUAAAUGAAACACAUCUUAAGGUAGAUCAUAUCUCGAGGUUGUAUAUCUCAAUUUACUCCAAAUAAAUAUGUUAGAUUAAUAUCUCAU
rnacentral:lncRNA from 1 species